UCCAUACUCCUUGCUCUAUUCCUGCUUUUUCUUGGAUCAUUGCUUCUGUUUCUUUCAUACUUUAUUUUCACUGGUCACAUGGGAGGGGAUCUGUCCCAAGCCUAUGGCCUUUUGGCUCUAGGAAUUCUCACCUUCCUCCCAGGUAUGUCAAAAGAUAUUUCCAUUUCUUUCGUUACCUCUACCUAUCGGUUGUGACAACUUAAAGUUAUAUUACUGACUGACUAUUUUAGAGUUCAAGACUAAUGAACCAAUUCAAAGAAUAGGAAAUUUGUCUUAUAAAUUGCCUUAUUAUACAAUUAGAGAUGAAGAAAAUAAAAUCUUUCAAUUUGAGGAGAUGGCAUAUAAAUCUCGGAUGGAUAACUUCAUAUGACCUUAAAUUCCCUCAUUCGUAUGUUGGAUUUCCUCUUUGAUGUAACUAUUUGAGCAUACGAUUAAAUCUUAAACCAUAUUCCUGAAUCUGGCUACAGGGUAUCUCGAUGGAUUAAUUCUUUACUCAUGGAAAUACUCCAUAUUGUUUCUGUAGAUUGAUUGAUGACUGACUGACUGACUGAUUUCAUAUCAUUCUUAUGGCUGCAGGCUUUUAUGAGACACGAAUUGCAUAUUAUGCAUGGAGAGGUGCGAAAGGAUACCGUUUCGCCUCCAUUCCAGACUAUUAGGGUGUUUUUGUCUUCAAACUUUUCUAAUAAUGUGUAUGGUGACACUUUCAGUUGACAUCUUCAUGUAAAAUCCACAUUGUAUAGAACACAUGAACGAUCCAUAUGUAACUUGUUUGCUAUUUAUUUGUUAUUUAAUGACUUGUUUGCGUUUGAAGCACGCCACGCUCACACAUAUAGUUCGUAGUACUACUGGGAUUGUUCUUCAGCCUGUAUGUUAUAAAACUGUUUAUCCAGCUGUAUUGAAUCAAAGCCUCAACAGAAGUUUUUGAUAUUCUUGCAGCCAAAUUGUUAUGCUUGCAUAUUAGCGCAUUAUGUUGAGCAAGAAAAUCUUAUUUUUGUGGGUUCGAGGCUUGAAUCUUUGUAAUAGCCACUAACAUAUUGCUGCCAAAGCUUGCUUUGUAGGAGAAAAACUUGCAUGGCACGGCGAUAGCAAAACAGUGCUAGUCUUAUGACAUGCAAAUUCUUCUCGCCUUAUAGAUGAACUGAAAAAUGCCAACAAGGCUACCCUUUUGGUAGGAGACAUAGGCGUUUUAAUGGCGAGCCUAGUAGAUCCAAAUCAACUCUGUCAUCCUAGUCAAUCAUGUUUCAUAGAAAUCAUCACUACAAUAGCUCCAAACAUAAGGUUUCAUAGGAAUCAUCACUAAGAAAGUUAAGUUUUUCUUUUAAAUAAAUAAUAAUAAUUAAUUUAAUGAUUGGAAUAUAUUCUGUUGAAGAGGAUAAAAUAAAAUACCAUUUAAACUGAUGUGCCCUUUACAGAAUUAGAAUAUAUUGUCUUCUCAUUAAUAACUAAAUUAAUUUUUAUUUUAACUGUUAUCUUAAAAAAAAUUAAAACUUUGACAGAAAAAUUGCUAAACAGUAGAAAAUCGAAGCUCAGAUGACGAGAGAAAGGCAGCCAGAGCUCACUAAUUAUUGCCCCCAAUUUUUCCUCCGAUUUGCCUUGAACCAAAACAAUCAAGCGAAAUCCCCACUUUGCCCCUCCAGACAAAACCAAAUCAACCAUCUGAGAAAGCGAAUUCCUUAGUCGUUUCAGCAAAUGCCAUGGGCGAAUCUGUCAAUUUCAAACAUUAAUUAAUUAAGAUAGUAAAUAGAUUAAUAGAAGAUCGUGGCGGAGUCUCUGAAAGUCCGAAGCGAGAAAGAAAAGCACGACAGGGCGCCCUUCUGCGUCUCCAUUUUUCAGUUUAGCCCUUUAGGGGUCUCUGCGAUACUGCUCAUUCACAAUCCAAUUCGAAGAGACCCUUUUCGCCUUUCGUAUCAGCGACUUCAAUUUCGGAGUUAAUUUCAUGUAACUUUCUCUCUCUCAUUCUCUGUAUUAUCUGUUUCUGUUGAAUUGCAUGCUUGUGUGGGUGUUUUGUUUAAUUGUCAAUUAUGUGAAUUUAUUUAUAGUUUCUGGGAUCUGUUGCAGCUAGGUUUAUUGGAAUCUCUGGAAUUAGACAAGUAUUGGAAAAAUUGGGGAAAAAAGCUAUUAAGUUUGGAAAUUUGGGAAAUUUUUCUUCUGGUUGAAGCUACUGACUGAUUUAUAUGAAUUGGGUUCCUAUUUCUGAUUUGGAAGUGGGUUUUUCGACUUCUCUUUUUACCCUUUAAUGUAUUUCCCUCUUAUUGUUAUCUUCCUCAAAGAUGCAAUUUUUUUUUUUUUUACAUGAGUGAUGUAUGGAAAUUGGGGAUGGGAGUUCUGUCUGAGGUGUUGCUAUGACUGAGUUUUGGCCCUUACGCACCCAUAGCGGGUUCUCUUACUUUUACUUUGUAGUUGCAAUUGUAGUAUAAUUAGCUUUUUGCUCUUUCGGUGUCUGAUGGAGUAAGGGCAGAAGCAUUUCGAUAUUGUUCACAAUAUAAAUUUGCUCCACAAAUAAUCAAACGUCUAUGUUCUUUAUGUUUAUCUGAAAUUACAGUUCCAAUCGAAGUCGCUUAUUUUUUAUUAUUGUUUUGAGUAUACACUUGAGUGUACAUUUGCAUGCUUGGAAUGACAAGUCUGCUGAUCUAGAUUAAAUAGUAAACAUUCCUGGUGCAAUUGUAAAUCUCGUCUUCCAAAAUGUAUCGGUGUUUGCACUCUCUUGCAUGUUUAUCUGAGUUUUUAUUUAUUUAUAAUCAUGCCUUUAGAUUAGGAAAAUGGAUGGAUCGGUUGGCCGUGGGGGCACCAGUGCGGAUGCUUAUUUACCCAAUUACAAGCUUGGAAAAACUCUUGGUAUUGGUUCUUUUGGAAAGGUCAAGAUUGCAGAGCAUGCAUUAACUGGCCAUAAAGUUGCCAUCAAGAUCCUCAACCGUCGCAAGAUAAAGAACAUGGAAAUGGAAGAGAAAGGUCAGCCUCUCUUUGUGAACAAUGGUUGAAUUUGAUUACUUGUCUUUUUCUAUUUCAGACAGUUCUGUCUUGAAUUCCAAGUAUAAACCUUUGUACUUUACUUGUUUUUCCCUUCUUUUUCACCCUUAAAUUUUGGUGCAGUGAGAAGAGAGAUCAAAAUACUGAGACUGUUUAUGCAUCCUCACAUUAUACGACUCUAUGAGGUCAUUGAAACACCAUCAGACAUUUAUGUUGUGAUGGAGUAUGUGAAGUCCGGAGAGCUCUUUGAUUAUAUAGUAGAGAAGGGUAGGCUGCAGGAAGAUGAAGCUCGUAACUUUUUUCAGCAGGUUAUUUGGCAAUUGUCUUGUUCUCUUUCUUCUACCAUUAUUUUUGCUUCUCAUAUGAGUUACAUAAGGCCAAUAUUUUUUCCUGAGGCAGAUAAUCUCGGGCGUAGAGUAUUGUCACAGAAACAUGGUUGUUCAUAGAGAUCUAAAGCCCGAGAAUUUGCUUUUGGAUUCCAAAUGCAAUGUGAAGAUUGCUGAUUUUGGUCUGAGCAACAUAAUGCGUGAUGGCCAUUUUCUCAAGACAAGUUGUGGCAGCCCAAACUAUGCUGCUCCAGAGGUAUAAAGACUCUGGUUAGAUGGCCUUUUAGUCAUUUUUAAAUAGGAAAUUUGAAUACAUUUUUCUUGUAUCAUGGCUUGAUUUCUAUCUCCAAUGUUUCAUCUCUUUCAUCUUUUGUAGGUCAUUUCUGGCAAACUGUACGCUGGGCCUGAAGUGGAUGUGUGGAGUUGCGGAGUCAUACUAUAUGCUCUUCUUUGUGGCACCCUUCCAUUUGAUGAUGAAAACAUUCCCAACUUGUUUAAGAAAAUAAAGGUACUUCCAGAUCUCGUUCCUUUGUUUAAUAUAAAAGUAAUCUUAUCUGAUUAUUUUCCUUCCGUUUCAAAUUUUCUUGAGAUGCAAGUAUGUUUAUGCUUUUUGCUUUUGUGUCCAUUGACAGUUAUUUUUUUCGUUCUUUGUCCAUAUUAGUCACGCUUAGCAUACCAUGAAUCAAAUGGUUAUCUGCUUGCAUAUUAUUAGUUGUCUUCCCUAAACCCACAUCAUUUUCUCUACAGGGUGGGAUAUACACUCUUCCUAGUCAUUUGUCACCUGGUGCAAGAGACUUGAUACCAAGGAUGCUUGUAGUUGAUCCAAUGAAAAGAAUGACCAUCCCUGAGAUUCGUCAGCAUGCAUGGUUCCAGGCUCAUCUUCCUCGUUAUUUAGCUGUUCCUCCACCAGACACAAUGCAACAAGCAAAAAAGGUUUGUUUGUUUUUUCUUUUUGGUUUUGUGAAUUGGAGUCAUAAUGUCUGUUCUACUUUGCUUUUCCUCAAUGUGCGAAGUGAUAUGUGUCACCGUGUUUAAAUAGAAUAGAGAAAUGUUAGUGUAAUUUAGUUUAUGCAACAAAAAGUUGACAUAUCAGCUGAUCCCUUGCUUAAUGCAUAUCCUUUUCUGUUUUGGCUGCAUCAUAUACUGGUGUACACCUAUUAUCAUAAGUUUUCAUGUGUCACCUUGCGUUUUGCAGAUUGAUGAGGAAAUUCUUCAGGAGGUGGUUAAGAUGGGAUAUGACAGGAACCUUCUAGUUGAAUCCCUUCGUGGCAGAGUACAAAAUGAGGUUUGCUCCUUUGGACCUUAUUCUCCUUCUGAUUUUCCAAUAGAAUCUAAUUACCCGUUGCAUGUUUCAGGGAACUGUUGCAUACUAUUUGUUAUUGGACAACCGUUUCCGUGUAUCCAGUGGCUAUCUUGGAGCUGAGUUUCAGGAGACUGUGGUAUGUAUCCCCCCCUUUUUUGAUGUUGUAGCAACAACUUGGUUAGAAAAUAAACUGUCCUCUUUUAAAGCCAAAGACUAAGCCUGUCGGCCAUACUCUAACAAGAUAAAAGUUGUUGUGGCCCAUUUACCAGCUAAAAGGAAACUAGGAGAAACUUGUACUUCGUCUGAAACAGGAUCCACUCUGGAGAUAUCCAACUUAAAGUGGUUGAGGAAUAUGAUAGAUCUGUGAAUGGACAUAAUUUGUUCCAAGAUUUACAAAACAUGAUUGGGGAAAAUGUUUUCAAUGCUUGAACUGUUUGUAUCAAGCUCAUUAUUUUCUUCUUUGCUGUGCAUAUUUGUAUUAAGAUCGGGCACCAAUUGGAUUUAAGUUUUUUUUCCUCCUUUUCUUUCAAUUCGUUUUUUGGGUCCAGGAUUGUGGUUUCAACCGUAUGCAUCAAAGCGAGGCUGCUGCUUCACCUGUUGGGCACCGCCUUCCAGGAUAUAUGGAAUAUCAAGGAAUGGGUUUCAGACCACAGUUCCCUGUUGAAAGGAAAUGGGCUCUUGGGCUUCAGGUUAAAUUUCUCUGACUUCAUGUUAUUAUUUGGGAAUAGGACAUAAAAAGAUAAUAUAUUCUGCUGUGUUAGAAGAUAGUUGGGUAAACAUAUCGACUUAAUUGGUAUGUUGAAACAGUCAUUGCUUGUGACGUCUAGGAAUUUGUUUUGAGCUCACUAAGUGUGCUGGUCCUUCUGGAUAUGUACAGUAGUGGUAGGUUGAAUGGAGUGAACAUCAAACAUUCAAUUUAUGAUUGUUGAUCCUUUCAUUGGCAGUCUCGAGCGCAUCCUCGUGAAAUAAUGACAGAAGUCCUUAAAGCUUUACAAGAAUUGCGGGUUUGUUGGAAGAAGAUAGGGCACUACAACAUGAAGUGUAGGUGGGUUCCUGGAACUCCUGGUCAUCAUGAAGGCAUGGUUGACAAUUCAUUGCACAGUAACCAUUAUUUUGGCGAUGAAUCCAGCAUCAUUGAAAAUGACGGUGGCAUGAAGACGCCAAAUGUGGUCAAGUUUGAAGUGCAGGUAACCGUUACUUUAUGUAAUUCUGUUUGGUCAAGUUUGCAUAUUGAAAAUAGUUGCCUUUUUCAGAUCAUCUUGUCUUGAGUAUCUUUCCAGAACAUAAUUCUAAUACAUACAUUAUACUGCUGUUUUGGGGUCUUAAACAGCUCUUCAAAACUCGGGAGGAGAAGUAUCUGCUUGAUCUUCAGAGGGUUCAGGGCCCCCAGUUUCUCUUCUUGGAUCUUUGUGCUGCUUUCCUUGCACAACUUCGGGUCCUUUAAAGCUAGAGCGCCAAGUCUCCCCAACAAAGUCCUUUGUGAAUCUGUCGUGAUGCUUGUGAAAAAAAAAAUGAAAAAAAUAACUUGUACCGUGUAUAUAUUAAUCUGUCUUGGGCCACUUUUUGCUAUUUCUCAUCUUAUUCCCAGUUUUAUAUGGGUUUGUAGCUCUUCUUGUAUUGAGCCAGUAUUCUACACUGGCAUUGGCCACGGUCAUUUCUAGUUUUGGUUUUAAAGUGGUCUGUUCUGUCCUGGAUUUUGCUCGUUAAACCAACAGGCAAAUCUGUGUGAAAGAACUAACCUCUCUUUGGAGCAUGCUCUAUCUAAUGCAAAUUUUCCUUUUAAUAUUUAGGCAAAAUUCAUUGAUGGGACUUACUUUAUGAUGUUGUUAAUCAUAUGCAUGCUGAACCACUUCACCACUUUAAUUGAAAAUUGUUUUCGUUCGUGGUCUGGUCGUUGCUACAAUCUUGUGCUUGUGGUUUUUUGUUUUUUUGUUUUGUUUUUUAUAUAAGCAAUAUUGAAGGAGGGACUUUGGGUCUAGAGAUAAUUACUCUUAAUUACUUUUACUUGAGCUACAAGCUCCUUUUGACCGAUAUGUGAUUCAUCGGACUACUUGACAAGAAAGAAGAACCAGAACGAAGAAUGUAGAAGAAGAUUAGAUUUAAAAAAAACAUGUGUUUUCCUUUUAGCUUGUGUCCCAACGUAUCAACUCAGACAAUACCCCAAUUUUUCCAUUUCUUUGGUCUAAUAAAUGUAUUUUUGCAAUCUAAUGUAUCAAUGCAUUAUCUUAUGAACGACCGAAUUUUAAUCAUUUAAUCUUUUAAUUCAAGGACUAAAUCUACGAUACACCGAUGCAUUGAAUGCACCACAUCAAGACGUCGUUUGUCUUCAGCCUCUGGCGGUAUUGUUAUUGUUCAUCUGUCCAAGUAAUGUCUUCUCUUCGGACGUCUUCUUCCUUCUGAUCUGAUAAGAUACUGAAUGUAUCAUGCAUUAUGACAAUUGAAAAACACAUCUUGUUCAACCACAAACGUUACAGAAAAAAUUUAUGAAGAGAAGCAAUUCAAUUUAUUAUUACUUCAGUGGUUUCUUUCAACCGAAAGCUCAAAUUACAAUUCACUAUUUCUUUGACAUACAUUAGGAGAUCAGCAAUAUUGCAAAGAAUGGAAUAAUGGUGAAUUCCAGAUGAUCUGGAACUAAUUAGAGGAUGAAUUUGUUAAAAGUAAAAAACUAAAAAGGCUCUCUUUUUCAUCAAUUAGUUGACAAAAAGCAGAUGGGUUGCAGAUCAAGUGAGCUCCAGAGUGACAAUUCACCAUCACUACUCAGAGAAAUAUCCAUUGAACUCUGUUGGGUUUCUUCCUCUUCUUUCUUCCCCAUCACCACCUCCUGAUAUUCUUGUUUUGCAGCAGCAGCAGCAGCUUCCUCUUUGUUCUUGUUACAGGCUCUCUGAAGGUUGUUUAAGGACUCAGAUAUGCCUCUCCCUUUGGCAUUUCCUGCUGAUGAUGAUGAUGAUGAAGAUCCAAUCUUUAACUUUAAGCACUCAGGUAUGCCAUUGAAGGCAUAGAGAGAAGCAGAGAACUUUCUUUCAUAUUUCAUUCUCUUCAUGGCUGCUCUUAGCAUUGAAGGCUCAUCUGCAUAGGUCUCUGGCUCCACUGGCUCCUCUAUCUCCUCAUCAGCAAUGUCAAAAGGAGAUGGAGAGUAGUAGUUGGAUGCUCCAAUAUCAUCCACAAACUGGAAAUCAAUCGCACCAACUUGAUCAUUGACCUCUUCUUCUUCUUCUUGAUCCAUAUCUUCCUGUGAUCCUUCACCGACAAAAUUUGCAUCCCCGCCACUGUAAGUCUGUGCCACUUCACUCAAAUUGCCAUAGUCCAUUUGAUCAGUUUCUCUUGCAGUAGAGUACUCUUCCUUCUCAGUCAAGCAAGAUUCGAAGCUUGAUGUCAUGUAGUCAAUGCUACUUGCACUAAUGAUGUCAUGAUUGUUGCUUGUGAUGUAAUCUUCAGGAUCAUUAAGGAAAUCAGUGUAUUGGGUUUCUGAGAAAUCUGCUCCUGCUUCUUCUUCCUGAUGAUCAGCAUGUUGCUGCAUUUGAUGGUGGUUGAUAGGCAAAGGAGCUGAAGGAGCAGAACAAGAGCUGCUAUUGUUUCUUGCUUUGAGCCUCUGCAGGAGAAGGUUUGUGAUCUUUGAGGGAAGUGCUGGUGUUGAAGAUGGUGAAUGUGAGCAAGGCCAGAAAUUGGUUCGAGUAUUGGCACCGCGGAGCAAGCAAGCAGCCUCAUCAUAGGCCCUGGCUGCUUCCUCAGCGGUGUCAAAUGUUCCCAACCACACUCUUAUCUUUUGAAUGGUGUCCUUAAUCUCAGCCACCCAUCUUCCGGAGGGUCUUUGGCGGACACCGACAAAGCGUUUUCGAGCUCUUCGUGCUCCUCCUAGCUCUGCAGCAGCCGAAGCUUCCUUCACCAUCUCAUCCCAAGCCAUGGUUCCCUCACUGGAACUCCUGUCUUCCACUCCAUCACUAACUUUUCUCUUCCUUGCCAUAUCUAUAGCUCUUUUCUUUCGAGUAUAUUUUUCUUUGCUAGUGUGUUAUAUUUUGUACUUCCAAGUGAUUUACUUGAAGCUGAAGGCUCAGUUGCUUUGAUGAUCUGGUUCUGUUGGGAUGUGCAUUUAUAUAUGUGGGGAACUGAAGAUCCUCUCAAAAAAAUGAUUGCAGGUUUGAAAUGGUCGUACCGUUUGUUCUCAUUUCUUUGUUUCUUUUUCCUCUCGGCCUAACACUAACCAAAUGGAAACGGACCUGCAAUUGUUGCAUUGCAUUUGACCCAGCCAAAGAUGCCUAUAUCUCUCUUCUAUGCCAUUAUUUAAACAACAUAUCAAUUAAUAACAAGGAAUUGUGAGCUUGAAUGAGUCAUACAUAUCUCUUUUUUUCUGCAUUUCUUUUAUCAGAAACAUGUAUUUUAUAAACUUUUUGCGUUUAUUUUAUAACUCACUGACGUAUCUUCUAGCACCAAGGAGAUACAAACAUAGAAGUCAUCUUUGUAGAGAAAGGGACUACUUGUUCCCUUCUAUUGAAUAUUUCAUGGCAUUAAAACACAAGUACAUCAGCAACCAAAUGAUCCCCAAGGAGAACAACAAAUGGAGCCUAAUUAAACAACAUAGUGACCUCUCUCUAAUUUAGGUGCAGCAUAUCCAUUACUACCAGUACAGGAUAUAAUUAUAUUUACUGAAUUCUAAUGAAAAAUAAUAUUGAAAGCUAUUCAAGGCAACUUGGGGGAUAAUUUAAGAUGAUGGGUGGUCCCUGAAUUUAUACCCGAGUUUCAAUUUGGUCCUCUAACUCGAUCAGUUGUUUCCAAUUGAGACUAAAAAGCUACACUUUGAACUUAUAACAUAUCCAAAUUCAUGUACAAUGGCAUUUUCAUCAAAUACCAACACUAGAUUUCUAAAUACUAGUUUUGGCGAUGGUUCCAAUUUCUCUUCUGCCCCAAUCAAAACAAAAACAGGGGAUCCAUAUGUUCUCUUAAAAUUCCAUGGAAGUUAUAAGGCAAGCACUAGCUUUGUUUUGAAAGGACAAACACAGUAAACACAGCCACGAAAAUCAUGGGGCAAACAUUCUUUUUUUCACCUGUGAUGUGACUUGUUAAACAACGCGUAAAAUGUCACUUUCAUUAGCCAAAUAAGGUCAAUUUACACUGCUUUGGGUGAAUAACCACGCAAUGAAAAUCCCCUAAUGACCCUUUCAUUUUGCCCUCGUCAUUUAUGACCGAAGUUAAGAACAGCGAUUUUUACAAAGCCUCCUCCACAAUGAAGCAUGUCCAGGCCAUUCUAAAUACUUAUAUAAUUACAUGAUGAGAGGUGUUUGUUUUCUAAUGCCAUCUUUUAGUAUAUCAUAUCUAAACACCUUUUCUAUUUCAUUAUCUUGGAUGGGUUCACGUCACUCAUCAUGCUCGUAAAAUGACGUUUUUGGACUUACUCAACUAGAACAGCGAUAUAAGAACUUGAAGUUAAUAUAAGCAGUCAUCUGAGGAAAUGAGUUAGACUUGAGUUAAAAGAGGGGUUCGAUUUUCUCUUUGUAACUAGGAAAGUAUCAUAUAACAUGAUGACAUUUUUGUUAGAAACAAGCAUAUGAAUGGUUGACUUUUCGAUAAAUGAGGUCGAUAAUUAUGAGAUUUUAUACUUAAAAAUAUGAAAUAUCAAGAUUAACAAGUUGGUAUAUCAAGUUAUUAACUUUGUUAAGUAACGUCUGAUAUGACAUCCCAAAAAAUCUUUAGAAUUGUAAUAUUAUACAUUUAAAUUUUUGGUGGAAUCAAACAUGCGAAAUGUCGAACUCUCCGAAAGUUAGAUUGGCAAGAUUAUUUGUAAUUAUAUGAAAAUAUCAAGAUUAAGAUAAGUUAGUUAGUACUAAACAGUUAGUAGCUUUGUAUGGUUAACCUCUGAUAUGACGUCUCAAAGAGCACAAGCUAUCUAGAAGAACACACCAUUGAAGAAGAUUUUAAGACAAAAGACACAAAGAUAAAACAAAAAUGAUAACAAGGAUCAAUGGGGUAGCAAAUCUAACGGGACCGUACGGCGACCAAAAACAAAAGAUGAGACGAACAAGUCCGAGAGAGAGCCGAAUCUUUGGAGUUCACACUUGUUUUAUUGGUCUUUUGCCCAAAAUUCACGACCAACUUAAAAUAUAUCAUGAUUUUGCUAAGAAUAAAUAAAUAAUUAUCACGUCACUAUUCUUUUUUUUAUGAAGAAGGAAAACAUAGAUUGGACUGCACUUUAAGCUUGUGGUGCUGCCAUGUCUGUAUGUGACGACGUGUGUUUGUGAUUCUAGUUCAUCUUCAUUGCGGAGGGAAAAAAAAAGUAUUUAAGUUAGCAUGGAAAGGGGAAGCUUAGAUUGCGUCAGGGGUAACCUAAGUUUGAUCAUCCUAAGAGCAACUCCACCCCUUAGGGCAAAGUCUAAGGCAAGGGCAAGCUAGGGCAAGCAAGGGCUGACACUAUUCACGUGAAUAGUGUCAGCCUUGCCAUUUGUGGUUCCACCCACAAGGGCAAAGUCUAGGGCAAUUACUAUUCAUUGUACUUUAUUUCCUAUUUUUUUAUACUUUAAAUCAUUAAUUUUGAUAAUCUUUUUAAUUAAAUUUUCGGAUAAGAUUUUCGGAUGUGAAUCUCGGUUGCCACGUGUCUUAUUCCAGAUAAAAUUUUCGGAUAUUCAUUAAUAAAAAUAUGAGUAGAGAGUAAAAAAUAUUGGAAGGAGAUGAGUUUGUAUGGAGAUUUGGUGUGGAAAAUGAAUUAUGUGAGUGGAGAGUAGAAAAUAUUGUAUGGAGAAGAAAUUGUAUGAAGAUUUGGUGUUGAAAGUAGAUAAAAUGGUUAGGUAUUUAUAGGGAAAAAAUACAUACAUUUUUGGUAUUUUUUUAAAAAAAAUUUCAGAAUUUUUUAGGAUUUUUUUUAAAUUUUUUUGGCCAAAAAAAUGAGAACCGUAGGAUUUUUGAAAAAAAUCCAAUUGGAGCCAUCCGGUGACGACACGUGGCAGUAGCCGUUGGAGCUGACAUCAUCGAUGACGUCACGACGACGUCAGCGCACUUCAGUCAAAUUUUUUUUACCGUUGGCGCGUGUAUUACACGCGCCAACAGUAAAAAAAUUUGAUUUUAGUGCGCUGACGUCAUCGCUGACGUCAGCUCAACUCGGGCUCGAGCCCAGUCUGAUUUCGCCCUUGGGCCUGCCCGGGCUCGUGGGACCCGCGGCUUGCCCGGGCUGGAUUGCUUGCGCUGGAGCUGGACUCGGGCUCCUUUUUGCCUUUUGCCUGGGCCAGCCUCUACCGCUGGACUUGCUCUAAUGGUUUUUUGAGAAAAUGUCAAAAGCCCUUUGUUGUUGCUCCACGUGGAGGCUGAAGAACAAACCAAUUGUCAGCAUCUCUGGUUUCUAGUUUUUCUAGCGUAGGCUAUUUGUGGCACAGGGGACAGAGCCCAGAAAAGAAGGAAAUGAGAGUGACAGAAAUUAUUUGUAUGGUUGACAAAUGCCAGGUUUAUUCUUGAAAAGAAAAUAAAGAACGGGUUUGAAUUAGGGUUCCAACAAAGGGUCAACAAAUUGAAAUGGAGAUGGGACUGGUUCCAACAAUGUUGCAGAAGAAGUGUUUUAAGUUGACAAAUGGAACACCAGUAUCAGCAUGUUUGGGCUUUGGCAACCAAAAGUUAGUUUAGUUAGUUGCCUGUGACACUAAAAGAGUAUUAUUUUAUACAUUCGUCAAGCAUAAUAUCAAUUGUCCACAACAGCCGUGAGAAUGACCAAAACAAACCCAACUCAAAGAUCAUGUACUCUACAUUUUACAUGAAUACAGAAUAUGACUUUACAGACACACAAUCUUAUUUUAAGUUUUAGCCGAAAAUUUGUCCCGGUAUUAGGGGCACAAGCUUUCUUUCUUUCCACAAGCAUUACAAAUUAUUGAGAGAGUUCCAUUGACAGACAGGUAAGUUUUUUUUGUGUAAGAAGACAAACUGCUGACUUCAAACUCCAGCUUGAAGAAGGGGUGAGUUAUGGUCAUCAGUGCUUCUUGGAUGUCGAAUUGGCAUCAGAGCUGGAUCCUCAUAUGCAGUGCUUAAUUUAUUAUAAAACACAGCUAUUGUCGGAUCAUUCUGAUCUUGUCUAUCUUUCUUUAUCAAACACUGCAUAUAAAACACAGUAAUUAGACCCUUACAUGCAUGCCAAAGUGUCGGCUGAGGCAUCCUUUAGCUUAUAAACAAGAGACGUCAAAGAAGAAACAUUAUCCAAUAAGGUACAACAAAAGAUCAUAACCUCUUAGGUUUUCACUAUCAGAUUUUGACAUAACGAUAUAGAGUGAAUCCUAUAGAUCAAGGUCGGAAUAUUAGCUAAAACAAAAUAAAAAAUAAAUAGAUAGUUCUGGUGCCAACAUACCUCAAGAGGAUAGUCUUCGAAUAUUGGUAGAAAUCGUUUACGGCAGUACUCAUUAAAAAGAAGUGUGAGAAUUGGAAGAGGGACAAUCAAACUAGAAGCUAAGGAAAGAUUCUUCAGCCCAAAUAUUCCAAUUGCAAUAAUGUGCAUCAGUACCAAGGAAAAAAUUGUUGAGUUGUGCACAGUUGGCCAAAAUCUUCCACCAGUAUCAUACUUGGGUGCAUAUACAAUUAGCAGCUGUUCCAAAUUGUUCACUAAAUAGCAUCAGAAUAUUUAUUAACCAAAAAUAGGUAAAUACAAUGAAUAAUACAAAUGAAAUUUCCACCAAUGACCAAAUAGAUAGCUUAAAUGGUACAAACUACGAAGUACUCUCAACGUGUCAGCAUAGUAUUCGAGUAGUAAGUUAGUAAUUCAACUCAACAAGGAUCCUAUAUGAGCUUCUGAAUCACUAGAACAAAUUGUCAAAAAUCAGAAGACACUUCAAUGAAGAGAAAAUUUGACCAUGCAGAAAGCUUCUUUGUCUGAGGUUUGGGAGGUGCAAGAAGAGUUUGGGGUUGUACCAAUUUUUCUUGGUGGUAUCAUGGAGCCACAGAGUGAUUUUACCCUUGCACCAAUAAUUUUUCAUCAUACAACCUAUAUUUUGGAGUUUCAGUCUGCUCCUUGAAACACUAAUUGUUAGUCAGAAGGACCCAAUAUAUUGACAGGUUCUGAAACAUAAAGUUAUAUUAUGUCCUAACUCCCAACUUCCCCUUGACCCAAAAAAAAUAAAAUUCCCAACUUCCCUCCCAUGUCCACCUUUUCUCUAAAUUUAAUUAUGAUAGGUCUGUGCCUUAAAGGUCUAUUAUAGUUAAAUGAAAAAGCAUACUAUGAACCAUGGAGUAAAUAACAAUCCAAUUUGACAAGUAGCUACACUUCAAAGUAGGACAAUGCUAAAGUAAUGCGGAUCAAUCCAUUUUAAAUGCCAUUAUUUACAACGAGAUUAUGUAAAUUUGUGCAAUUAGUUCAGACAAUAUAUGUGUGACCAACCUGUCACUUGAUUACACUGGUUGUAAUAUUAUACUAUGCUAUUCACCUUUAAAGAUUACUAAUGCUCGAAGUAGGUUGUCUCAUCUUGAAAGGUAGAAUUUUAAUCAUUUUUAUGCAAUAAUUUUGCAUAAAAAGAAGGCAUUCAACUAACCUGGUUACGGUAGAUUAUGUAUCCCAGACAACAGUAAACCAAAAGGAAGGGGAUAAUCAGUGGAGCUAGGAAGAAGUACGUUAUUCCAAGGAGUCCAAAAAACAGAACUUUAGGAAUGUGACUAUGGUAUGGAAUUGAAGGAACCUUCAAUUCAUCACCAUCUUUUCCUGAAAAUGGUUUUUUUAUAAUACUGCAAAUCAGGGGACUCAGACGGAAGAGUACUGAGGAUAGAAGACUGGUCCAUCCAGAUGUCACAACAUAUGCAAUGAAGAAUGAUGCCUGCAUCCAAGAUAAAGAAUCUAUAUAAUAUCCUUCAUCAUCAAUUCCUGAUGUAGAUAAAUGGUUUCAAAAGUUUAACUUUUAACAUUUAAGCCAAAUCUCAAGUUCGGCAGACAAAGAUACAAUCAUACAAGAACCACAAAUUUUUUAUUGAUAACAAAUUAUCCUCCUAUUAUCACCAAGAUUAUAACUUAAUGAGGAUCGAGAAAAAGUAUUUGAAAACGUUACAGGUCGGGAAAAAAUUACCAGGAAGUAGUUCAGUAAAAAUUUCACAUGUUAACUUUCUGCGAACCCUCCAACAGUUCAUGGAGUUUUUUUUAUAGUUUAAUUAAGAUUUAAGAAAAAUGAGAAAGGGCAUAGCCAUAGUACAUGGGAAGUAAUGAAUUUGCUAAAAGCUUCUUAAAACUUCGUAUGAUUUUUGCAGAGAGGGAUACAUGCUAAAAUUGCAUAUGUAUUUUCACCUGUGCUGGAACAGCAUCAGCAAGGAUCCCCGGAAUCUCUUUGGGAUCAAGAAAGAUAUCGAACCGAUAGAGAACUGUUCCUGAUAGUGCAUUUGCAAAGAAAAUGUUCCAUAUAGUAAAGCACAACAUCUUGAUGCAUGCACUUUUUUCUAUCUGACUGAAAGAUAUGCAACCUUCCACAGAUGACAACAUUAUCAUGAUGGGUGGCACAAAAGCAAUGAACAUCUGAAGAAUAAGACUCGGAAGAUAUCCUGUUAUGACUUCACUGACCACUGUUCUGUAAGUCAAUAAAUUGUAUGAUUCAGCAUCACGUCUUAAAAAAGAGAGGGUUAAUUAGUGAAAAUGCUAUAUUUUCCACUUACAGGCUCAGAAUGCUUUCCAGAAAAGGAAAAUACGUUUCCAACUGUUCAAGAUUAGUAAGGCCUUGCACUAUUACAACUGGAAUGAGGAAUAGAAUUGUAACAGCAGCGUAUGCAACCACCACCAGCAGCUUAGAGAUCCAUCUUUUUAUAAAAGAUGAAGAAAAGAAGGGCCAGUGAAUGUCUUGAGGCUCCGGAGCCCUCUCGGUGACCCAUUCCGUGGGAUUUGUUCCUUGUUGAAUGUGUAAAGCUACCGCAGCACCAAGCCGGGACUUAAAUGACACAAAGGCGGCUGGAACUUCCUAUAAUUUUUUUUUUUUUUGGGCAUUGUGGAACAAUUGACUAUCAAAUAUCCUGCUCAUAUAAAUCAAACAAUAUUGGAAUAAUCUAAUCGAAUUAUAAUUUUUUUCUCUAAAUAUUCUGAUGCCUUUUAGAAGUCAAAAAUAUGUGUCUAGGUGUGUUUGUUCAUGCAUUUCUUAAAGCCGCCACAUACAAAGCAGUAUAACAAAAAAUAUAUAUAUAUGAAGAAGACUGUGUGUUGCUGGUUUCUAUUACAUUUCAUGGAUACUUUUGUUUCACCUCUUACAUUCAGAUUAAUGCUGAAGGAAUUCUUAAGCAGAGGAGAUCUUACCAUUUGAAAACAAUUAUUAUCAAACUCUCUUGAAAAAAUAAUACCAUGAAUACCUUUCCUGCCACUGACAAUUGCUCCAUUCUCACAUUAUCUUCUAAAGUUUCCAAUUUCUUUCCAUAGUGAUCUAAAACAUUAACUUUGUGUCCAAAAAGCCCACAAAAGCCAUCACGUAUGGAUCUUCGCUGGGGAUUAGUUUCCGAUUUCAGAUGCACAAGCCUUCUGUAUAGCUUUUUAGCAUCACUCUACAAAGUAAAAAAACGAAUCAUUGCCAAUUUCUCAUUUGAUAAAGAAAAGUACAACUGUUACAAUUUUAGUUUUUAAAACCCACCAUAUUUUGCCAUUAUGCAGGACAAAUUUGAACAGAUGCUUUUAGGUAUGAUAUUUUCAGAACCGAAAAAAAAAAAACCCCUGAUGGCCCGGCAGGAAGGAACUUUGAGGGGGGAUGUUUAAGCAACUAAAAAAAUAUAGGCUAUGAUUGAUGCCCCGUAAAUUACAGAAGCCCCCACCCGGGCCUUUUGGAAAAAAAAAAAAAAAAAAAAAAAAAAAAAAAAAAAAAAAAAAACUAGCUUGUUGAGGAUUAGUUUGAUAUUCCUUGAAAAUUAAUUAAUUAAUUAAAGGUUCCAAGGUAAUACCCUAGUAAAACUAAAUGUAUGGCAUGAUGGUAAAUAGUCAAGCCAAUGCAGAUCGCAGAGCUCAAAAACAAAUUAAUUCGUAAAAAAUUUGUUAUUCAGUUACGAAUUAUGAGGGGCUGAGGCCACAUAAACAGGAUUAACUACUUUCUGCAUGAUUAUUUGCACACAUUGUCGGGACUAUCCAAUAUAAAUGCAUUCAACCAUAGGCACAUAACAUGAUUAUAAGUGAAAAAUAAAUGAGGUCUCAUAGUUAUUUUCCAAAAUAAACUCCCACCAGAAAUCUGACCCAUGUGGGGAGUGGGGACAAAAGAUUGAAUCAAUUAUUCACAGAGUGCUUACAGUGAGACGUUGAAGUUUGUUGGUUCGGCGAACCACUGAAUGUGAAAGAUAAGUAGAAGGAUAAUACUCUGUAAAAAAUUUCUCAACAGUUUCACUGCAGCUGCUCCCCGAUGAGACAGGAAUACCACGAACUAAUAUUGUAAACUGAUGAGGCUGAGGUUUGGAUGAAUAGUAGUGAGCAAUUCUUUUUGAUGAGAUAUAGCUAUACUCCUGCAGUUAUAGUCAUCAAGCUGAAAUCAGUGUUGAUUCUUUCUUAUAAAUGAACCAGAAAACGAUGGAAUAAGCCAUAAAAAAGAAACAAAAUCUGACUUACAUAAUAAAGAAGAUAGCAGACGACUCCACUGAAAAUGUAUACUGCACAAAAGUGAACCCAUAACCUUGGGAGACCAAAGCAAAUAAUCAGGUGGUCUUCAAAAUAAUUUUACUAUGCCUACUAUAAAUAUAAUAAAUUCAAAUCUACUUGAAUAUUAUCUAGCAACAACAAAGAGAAUUACUCCGCAUAAAAGGUUUAUGUGUGAAGUUAGUUUGAAUAAUAUGUGAGAAGGAUAUUCACUCUCACCUAAGUCUAAAUCUUGGCAUGAGCUUGAACAACUUCACUCUCACCUCCUAGUCUAUGAAUGUGCAAGCACAAAAAGUAAGAGAAAAGUCCAACUCAGUUGCCGGUAUCUAGGACCAAUAUGUCCCAUCUAAGUUAGCUUAUAUAAUCUGCCAGAGUCAAAGACAAAAAUAAAAUGGAAAUGAAAAACAAAAUACAACAAAUCUGCCACAGGAAUUAGAAGAUACACCAGAGACCUAUAGCCAAAUCUCAACCUAAGCUCAUACGGCUUCACCUCCUUUCUAAGGCUUUGAAAUGUGUGAGCAAAAGAAGGAAUCCUAGGCUUUUAACGUUUCAUGGAUUGAUGCACUAACUUAUAAAGGACAUAUACUGCAUAGAAUUGAAAGCCACUAAAAGGGAUUACUGCAUUGGGGAACAAUGUGUGGAAAUAUGAUGCAGGGCUAUACAAGACACUCAACCCAUUGUAGCAAAUGCAACAAUGGCUCAAAGAAUAAUACCAGGCAGUGUUUAAGACUGCAAUUUCAUGUCAAGUUAAUUCUUUGUUAACAAUCUUUCCCACAAGUUUCAAUCAACAGCACCUACAGAUGACACUCCGAACCAGACAAUUACCAUUUUGAGCCAUCCUUGACAUUUGAAAUACUGAAGGAGUCCAAAGACUUGUUGGCCAAAUCCGAAGAAUCCGCAUCUAGCUGAGUCCCCAGAUAAUUUAUUGGAAGAAGAAUGACAACCCCAACAAUCCCAGCAAAGCCAAAUACUCUCAAACUGCAUAAUUACAAACAACAACAACAAAAACUCAAAUAUGCCCUCAAAAAAGCAAAACCAAUCUGAACAUAACCUGUAGUUCUAGUUUAUUAAGUAACCUGAAGAUAAAAAUGCGAAUGAAGACCACAGCAUCGAAGCUGGUGGCCGACAUAAACUCAUCUUCAGAGGGCUGCCAUGCCCUUUUCACCCAACCUGCAGUUGGUAACAGCCUCUCGAAAUUGAACCCAUUUCUCUGCUCUGAUUCCUCUUUAGCAGCAACCAAGCGUGGUGCAUAGACAUCAAGAUAACUGGGUUGCUUCUUCAAUAUAGAAUAUAGAGUGAAGAAGAGGAGACAAAGCCCAAGAUUGAUUCCUACUGACGUUAAAAGUGCCCACACUAUCAUAUCUGCAAAUAAAACCACUCUACCUCAACUGGGCAAACUGCAAAUUAUAUAUUUGAAGAGCAAAUAUGACAUUACAAUCUCCAAGUCUCCAACUUUAACGAAAGAAAACAUCACCCAACUGGGGUGAGAACCUGUCAGCUGUGUCAGUUUGAGCGCGAGGGACAGGGCAGGGGCAGCAAGGGGAAUUUACGCUUAUGAGGCUUGCCUCUUUUUUUUUUUUUCCCUUUUUUGGUCAUUAGCUUAUGAGGCUUGCUUCGGAUUUUGUCAACUUAACCGACUUUAUUUCUGAAAUUGGCGAUACUACCCCUGGGCCCGCAUGGUCUCCCGCCAUGUGGCCUUUCAUUGCGGAUCAGACAAGGCGGACUUUAAUUUGCACAAGCAACUCACUGCCGACUGGCCCAAAUGUCACUCUCGAUCGACUCCUACAAAUAUCGGUUUCUUUUUUUAUAGGGCAAAUAUCUGGUUUCGAUCCAUUUAAAAUCUUACAGUUGAGCGCAAGCGAGUUAAACUCAUCAGGUAAUUUAGACUAUUAUUUGUAUCUAUAUAUAUAAAGCAAAAGGUAGAGAAUAGUGAAAUAUUCAAAAUACUAAAAAAUACUCUUGGUUAAUUCAAAUAUUAAGAAUUAAAAUUAUUAAUUAAAUGAGAAUAAUAUAGUAAAUUUAUUUUUUUAUAUUAAAAAAAUAAAAAUAAAAUAAGAUAAUAGGUCAUACUUUUAUCUUUUCUUAAUUCUAAAAAUAAAAUAAAAAAAUAAAAAAGAGAACCAUUGGCACAUGCUUGAGCGUGUGCCAAGGGGUUAGUUAGAAGAAUAAAAAUUCUUACUUUACAUUUAAUCAAAAUGAACAUGUUUUAUAAGGAUUUUUUUAGACCACAAUGAACCAAACAAGAUCAGUUUACAUCUGAUGUGAUCGGUUUGAGUUGGUCAGUUUAAAUUUGUAUUUCAUACUAAAUUUUUAGUUCUUUUAAUUAUCUUUAUUUCAUACAAGUGAUAGUCUAAACUACAAAAGAAUUGGGUUUCACUAACUCAUACACACACUACCAAUAUGUAAUAGGAGUUUGAAUAUGAGAUCAUUACUUAUUGCAAUUCAAGAUCUUUUUCAACUAGACUAGACCUCGUUGACAAUUUUUUUUAUCAUCUUUAUAGCCAAAAUUAAUGAGCCGAACCACUUAUAUUUGGUUAUUGGAUUGUCUAAUACCUUAUAUAGAGCUCCUAUUGUUUACUUGUUAGACAAGCUAGGGUACUUUUAAAAUAUAAUACUACUAGCCUCUUCGCACGCGCUUCUGUGUCUGCGAGAAGUUUUUUUUAUUAUAAAAAGUUUAAACAUAUUUUAGAAUUAAAAAAAUAAUGGGUAGUUGUGUUCCAUAAAAAUAGGAUCCAUUAUAUGAAUUCUCUUUUAAUUUUAAUUUUUUAAAUAUGAAAAUGUGUGAAUUUACUAUAUUAUCCUCAUUUAAUUAAUAAUUUCAAUUCUUAAUGUUUGCAUUAACCAAUGGCAUUUUUUGGUAUUUUGAAUGUUUUACCAUUCUCUGCAUUUUGCUUUAUAUAUAUAUAUAUAUAUAUAUAUAUAGAUUUAAAGAGUAUAGUUGGGCGGCUAUACGUUUUACGUGUAUUAGAAUAUUUUAAAAGUAUAGCCAUGGGGCUAUACUGCAUAAAAUGAUUUUUACUUAUAGCCUUUUUUAAUUAUUUUAAUUAGUAAUUAUAUUUUGAUUAUUAUUUCUUUAGUGAAUUAUUAUUUAAAUAUUUUACUAAGCAUCUAUACUCUUUAAAUAUUAUUAUAUUUUAAAGGUAUAACCGGCCGGCUAUACUCUUAAAAUGUAUUAGAAUAUUUUAAAAGUAAAAUGGUUUCUACUAACUUCAUAAAUUACUUAAUAAGUAGUAAUUAAUUAUUUGAAAUUAUUUUUUGGACUAUUUUUUAAUAUAUUUUUUUAUAUAUAAAAUUAGUUUGUUUAGUUUAAUAAUUUCAAUUAAGUAAUAUCUAAGCCUUAUUUAAUUAAUGAAUAAUUAGUAUUUAAAGUAUUUAAUUAAUUUAAUUAAUUUCAUAAAUUACUUAAUAAAUCAUAAUUAAUUAUAUUUACUCAUCUGAAAUAAUUUUGUGGACUUUAAAAUAAUUUUUAAUUUCCUAAUAUAUUUUUAUUCAAAUAUUUUAGUAUUCCAAACCCUAAAAGUCGCUAUUUAGGGAGGAAUUAGAAAACUACAACUCCAACCAUGCUCCCUAUCCACAUCCUAAAAUAGGGAGACCUCUGGGGAACUCCUAAAUAUAAGGAGAGAGAAAUGACUCCAAGUGGCUCCCUAUAAUUUAAUGCUGCUUUAUUUAAUGAGCAUUUCAAACAUUUAAUUAAUGCUAACUAUUUUUUUAAAUAUAUUUUAAUAAAGAUGGACCAAUUAAAAAAGAGUUAUAGCAUUUAUGACUCCCUAAAUUAGAGAGCAUGAUUGUCGUUUAAAUUGUAUAGAGAGCUCCUAAAAUAACUUUUAUAUGUUUUUAACUAAAAUUUAACUGAAAAAUAGAGAGCAUGAUUGUAAAUGCUCUUAGAGAAUAACUAUUGGUUAAGUGGUCUCUUUGUUAUGCUUAUCGAUUCAGUAUGAAUUUAGGUCAUCUUCUUCAUUAUCUGAAAAGGCCAAAAAAAAAGUUGCCCGGCCCAGUAUUCCUUACUCAAUCCAGUUUUAUCUCCCAAGACAGAAAAAAAAAUUAUAUAUAUACAAAAGAGAGAAGAUUCUCUCCUCCCUCUUUGCCAGCCCAUGAUUCUUCAGCCCAACUCUCUUCUUCUCUUUUUGCUUUUUCUUUCAGUGAUCAGCUAAAAAGUGAGGAUAUUUGUAUAACUUUGCAGUGAAAUAAAACCCUGAACAUGAUUUAAUUGAAAAGAGGAUAUUUGAUGGAGGAGCUUGCUUUUGUUUUAUUUUCUAUUCUUAAGUCUUGAUAAUUUAAUUUUGGACAUAUUUUAUCCAAAGAUUAGGGUUAAAUAUCUUUUUAGUUUACGCAAAAUUCAAAUGAGAAGAAAAAUAUAGAUUGGACUGCACUUUAAGCUUGUGGUGCUCCCAUGUCUGCAGGUGAUGACGUGUGUUUGUGAUUCUGGUUCAUCUUCAUUGCACAGGAAAAAAAUAGAGUAUGUAAGCUAGCAUGGAAAGGGGAAGCUUAGAUUGCGUCAGGGGCAACUUGAAUUUGAUCAUCCUAAUGUAUUUUUUGAGAAGAUGUCAAAAGCCCUUUUUGUUGCUCCUUGUGGAGGCUGAAGAACAAGCCAAUUUUCAGCAUUCUCUGGUUUCCAGUUUUUCAGAUGUAGGCUGUUUGUGGCACAGGGGACACAGCCCGAAAAUAAUAUGUAUGGUUGACAAAUGCCAGGUUCAUUCUUGGAAAGAAGAUAAAGAAUGGGUUUUGAAUUAGGGCUUCAACAGAGGGUCAACAUAUUGAAAUGGAUAGGGAAUGCUUCCAAGAAUGCUGUGGAAGAAGUGUUUUAAGUUGACAAAUGGAACACCAGUAUCACCAUGUUUGGGCCUUGGCAACCAAAAGUUAGUUUAGUUAGUUUAGUUAGUUGCCUAUCCCACUAACUAAAAGAGUAUUAUUUUAUACAUUCUUCAAGCAUAAUAUCAAUAGUCCAUAACAUAGCAGUGAGAAUGACCAAAAUAGACCUAACUCAAAGAUCAUAUACUUUACAUUUUACAUGAAUACAGAAUAUGACUUCACAGACAAUCUUAUCUUGAGUUUUAGCCGAAACUUUGUCCCAGUAUUAGCGGCACAAGCUUUCUUUCUUUCCACAAGCAUUUCAAAUUAUUGACAGACAGGUAAAUUUUUUAGCGUAAGAAGACAAAUUGUUGGGCUUCAGACUCCAGCUUGAAGAAGGGGUGAGUUAUGGUCAUCAGUGCUUCUUGGAUGGCGUUUUGGCAUCAGAGCUGGAUCCUUAUAUGCAGUGCGUAAUUUAUCAUAAAACACAGCUAUUGUAGGAUCAUUUUGGUCUUCUCUAUCUUUCUUUAUCAAACACUAUAUAUAAAACACAGUAAUUAGACCCUUACAUACAUGCCAAAUUGUCGGCUGAGGCAUUGUUUAGCUUUUAGAAAAGACAUACAAGGGGACGAAAAAGUGUCAGGAAAAGAAGCAAUAUUAGCCAAUAAGAUGCAACAAAAGAUCAUAACCGCUUGGGUUUCACUAUCAGAUUGACAUAACAAUAUACAGUGAAUGCUAAAGAUCAAAGUUGGAAUAUUAACUAAAUACAAAAUCAAAACUAAAUAGAUGGUUUUGGUGCCAACUUACCUCAACAGGAUAGUCUUUGAAUAUUGGUAGAAAUCGUUUACGGCAGUACUCAUUAAAAAGAAGCGUGAGAAUUGGAAGAGGGACAGUCAAACUAGAAGCCAAGGAAAGCUUCUUAAGCCCAAAUAUCCCAAUUGCAAUAACGUGCAUCAGUACCAAGGAAAAAAUUGUUGAGUUGUGCACAGUUGGCCAAAAUCUUCCGCCAGUUUCAUACUUGGGUGCAUAUACAUUUAGCAGCUGUUGCAUAUAGGUAAAUACAAUGAAUAAUACAAAUAAAAUUUCCACCAAUGACCAAAAACAUAACUUAGAUGGUACAAACUAGGAAGUACUAUCAAAGUGUCAGCAAGUAUUUGAGUAGUAAGUAAUUCAACUCAAUAAGGAUCCUAUAUGAGCUUCUGAUAUCACUAGAACAAAUUGCCAAAAAUCAAAAGACAUUUCAAUGAAGAGAAAAUUUUACCAUGCAGAAAGCUUCUUUGCCUGAGGUUUCGAGGUGCUCAGUUUGGGGUUGUAUCAAUUUUUCUUUGUGGUAUCAUGGAGCCACAGAGUGAUUUUACCCUUGCAUCAAUAAUUUUUGGGUGGUAUCAUGUAGCCACAGAGUGAUUUUACCCUAUAAUUUUUCGUGAUACAACCUAUAUUUUGGAGUUUCAGUCUGCUCCUUGAAACACUAAUUGUUAGUCAGAAGUACCCAAUAUGUUGCAUUGACAGUUUUUGAAAAAUAAAGUUAUAUCAUGUCCUAACUCCCAACUUCCCUCCCAUGCCACCUUUUCUCUAAAUUAAAUUAUGAUCAGUCUAUGCCUUAGAGGUCUACUAUAGUUAAAUGAAAAAGGCAUACUAUGAACCAAGGAGUAAAUAACAAUCCAAUUUGACAGGUAGCUACAAUUCAAAUCAGGACAAUGCUUAGUCAUGCGGAUCAAUCCAUAAUAAAUAUUGACAUAAUGGCAUUAGAUUUACAACGAGAUUAUGUAAAUUUGUGCAAUUAGUUCAGAAAAUAUAUGUGUGCCCAAGCUGUCACUUGAUUAUACUGAUUGUAAUAUUAUACUAUGCUAUUCACCUUUAAUGAGCAUUAAUGUUCGAAGUAGGUUGUCUAAUGUUGAAAGGUAGAAUUUUAAUCAUUUUUAUGCAAUAGUUUUGCAUAAAAAGAAAGCAUUCAACUAACCUGGUUACGGUAGAUUAUGUAUCCCAGACAACAGUAAACCAAAAGGAAGGGGAGAAUCAGCGGAGCCAGGAAGAAAUAUGUUAUUCCAAGGAGUCCGAAAAACAGAACUUUAGGAAUGUCACUGUGGUAUGGAAUUGAAGGAACCUCAAAUUCAUCAUCAUCUUUUCCUGAAAAUGGUCUUUUUAUAAUACUGGAAAUCAGGGGAAGCAGGCGGAAGAGUUCUGAGGAUAGAAGACUGGUCCAUCCAGAUGUCACAACAUAUGCAAUGAAGAAUGAUGCCUGCAUCCAAGAUAAAGAAUCUAUAUAAUAUCCUUCAUCAUCAAUUCCUGAUGCAAAUACAUGGUUUCAAAAGUUCAACUUUUAACAUUUAAGCCAAAUCUCAAGUUCGGCAGACAAAGAUACAAUCAUACAAGAACCACAAAUUUUUUAUUGAUAACAAAUUAUCCUCACAUUAUCACCAAGAUUAUAACUUAACGAUGAUCAAGAAAAAGUAUUUGAAAAUUUUAUAGGUCAGGAAAAAAUUACCAGGAAGUAGUUAAGUAAAAAUUUCACAUCUCAACUUACUACAAACCCUUAAACAGUUCAAAUAGCUUUUUUAAUUAAGAAUUAAGAAAAACGAGAAAGGGCAUGGCCAUAGUAAUGAAUUUUCAAAAAGCUUCUUAAAACUUCAUAUGAUUAUUCCAGAGAGGAAUACAUGCUAAAAUUGCGUAUGUAUUUUCACCUGUGCUGGAACAGCAUCAGCAAGGAUUCCCGGAAUCUUUUUGGGCUCAAGAAAGAUAUUGAACCGAUAGAGAACUGACCCUGAUAGUGUAUUUGCCAAGAAAAUGUUCCAUAUUGUAAACCACAACAUCUUGGUGCAUGCACUUUUUUCUAUCUGACUGAAAGAGAUGCAACCUUCCAUGGAUGACAACAUUAUCAUGAUGGGUGGCACAAAAGAAAGGAACAAAUGAAGAAUAAGACUUGGAAGAUAACCUGUUAUGACUUCACUGACAACUGUUCUGUAAGUCAAGAAAUUGUACGAUUCAGCGUCACGUCUUAAAUAAAAGAGAGUUAAUUAAUGAAAAUGCUAUAUUUUCCACUUACAGGUUCAGUAUGCUUUUCAGAAAAGGAAACCACGUUUCCAACUGUUCAAGAUUAGUAAGGCCUUGCACUAUUACAACUGGAAUGAGGAAUAAAAUUGUAAGAGCAGCGCAUGCAACCACCACCACCAGCUUGGAGAUCCAUCUUUUUAUAAAAGAUGAAGAAAAGAAGGUAAAAGAUGAAGAAAAGAAGGGCCAGUGAACGUCUUGAGGCUCCGGAGCCCUCUCGGUGACCCAUUCUGUGGGAUUUGUUCCUUGUUGAAUGUGUAAAGCUAUUGCAGCACCAAGCCGGGACUUAAAUGACACAAAGGCAGCUGGAACUUCCUAUUAUGAAUAUUUUUUGGGCAUUGUGGAACAAUCAACUACAUCAAAUUUCAUGCUCAUAUAAAUCAAACAAUAUUGGAAUAAUCUAUUCCAAUUAUACAAAUCAGUAUAACAAAAAAAUAAUAAUAAUCAUGAAGAAGUGUGUUACUGAUUUCUAUUAUGUUUCAUGGAUACUUUUGUUUCACCUCUUACAUUCAGAUUAAUGCUAAAGGAAUUCUUAACUAGAGGAGAUCUUCUUUUAUACCAUUUGAAACAAUUAUUAUCAAACUCUAUUGAAAAAAAAAAUUUCCAUGAAUACCUUUCCUGCCACUGACAAUUGCUCCAUUCUCACAUUAUCUUCUAAAUUUUCCAAUUUCUUUCCAUAUUGAUCUAAAACAUCAACUUUGCGUCCAAAAAGCCCGCAAAAGCCAUCACGUCUGGAUCUUUGCUGGGGCUUAGUUUCCGAUUUCAGAUGCACAAGCCUUCUGUAUAGCUUUUCUGCAUCACUCUACGAAAAGAAAAAAUAUAUAUAACUCAUUGUCAAUUUCUCAUUUGAUAAAGAAAUGUUAAACUGUUACAAUUUUAGUGUCUGAAAACAACCCUAUUUCGAAAUUAUGCAUUACAAAUUUGUUCAGAUGUUCUUACGUAUGAUGUUUUCAGAAACCCAAAAUAUAUAAAUAAAUAAAUAUACACACACACACACACACACACACAUAUAGGGUACGCCUGAUGGCCAGGCAGGGUGAGACGAAGCAAGCAGGAAGGGACUCAGGUGUGAUGUUUAAGCAACUAAAUAAAUAUAGGCUACAACUGAUGACCGGGAAGGGUAGGAUGAAGCAAGCAGAAAGGGACUCUGAGGCGUGAUAUGUAAGAACCUAAAAAGAAUCCACAUAGCAAUUACAGAAGCACCAAGCAGGGCCUUAGAAAACAACCAAAAAAAACCUAACUUGUCGAGGAUUAGUCUGACACUCCUUGAAAAUUAAUGAAUUAAUUAAAGUUACAAGGUAAUACCCUCGUAAAAUUAAAUGUAUGGCAUGGUGGUGAAAUAGUCAAGUCAAUGCAGAUCACAGAGCUCAAAAACAAAUUAAUUCGUAAAAAUGUUGUUCUUCAGUCAAUAAUUAUGAGGUGCAGAGGCUACAUAAACAGGAUAAACUACUUUCUGCUUGAUUACUUGCACACAUUGUCGGGACUAUCCAAAAAAAAUUCAUUCAAACAUAGGCACAUAACAUGAUUAUAAGUGAAAAAUAAAUGAGGUCCCAUUCUUAUUUUCCAAAAUAAACUCCCACAAUAAAUAUGACCCCUGUGGGCCGUGGGGAGUGGGGACAAAAGAUUGAAUCAAUUAUCCACACGGAAUUCUUACAGUGAGACGUUGGAGUUCGUUGGUUCGGCGAACCACUGCAUGUGAAAGAUAAGUAGAAGGAUAAUACUCUGUAAAAAAUCUCUCAACAGUUUCACUGCAGCUGCUCCCAGAUGAGACAGGAAUACCACGAACUAAUAUUGUAAAUUGAUGAGGCUGAGGUUUGGAUGAAUAGUAGUGCGCAUAUCUCUUUGAUGAGAUAUAGCCAUACUCCUGCAGUUGUAGUCAUCAAGUUGAAAUCGGUGUUGAUUCUUUCUUCUAAAUGAACCAGAAAUCGAUGGAAUAAGCCAUUAAAAAACAAAAUCUGACUUACAUAAUGAAGAAGAUAGCAGACGACUCCACUGAAAAUGUAUACUGCACAAAAGUGAACCCAUAACCUUGGGAGACCAAAACUAAUAAUCAGGUGAUCUUCAGAAUAAUUUUACUAUGCCUACUAUAAAUAUAAUAAAUCCAAAUGUACUUGAACAUUAUCUAGCAACAUCAAAGAGAACUACUCCACAUAGAGGUCGAAAUUAGUUUGAAUAAUAUGUGAGAAGGAUAUUCAACAGACCUAAGUCCAUAUCUUGGCAUGAGCUUGAACAACUUCAUUCUCACCUCCUAGUCUAUGAACGUGCAAGCACAAAAAGUAAGAGAAAACUCCAACUCAGUUGCUGGUAUCUAGGAGCAAUAUUUCCCAUCUAAGUUAGCUUAUUUAAUCUGCCAGAGUCUGACAAAAACGAAAUACAACAAAGCUGCCACACAGGAAUUAGAAGAUAACCAGAGACCUAUAUCCAAAUCUCAACCUAAGCUCAUACGGCUUCACCUGCUGUCUAAGGCUAUGAAUGUGCAGGCACAAAGAGGGAAUCCUAGGUCUUUAACGUUUCAUUGAUUGAUGCACUAACUUAUAAAGGGCAUAUAGUGCAUAGAAUUGAAAGCCACUGAAAUGGAUUACUGCAUUGGGGAACAAUGUGUGGAAAUAUGAUGCAGGGCUAUACAAGGCACUCAACACAUUGUAGCAAAUGCUACAAUGAGUCAAAGAAUAAUAACGGCAGUGUUUAAGACUGCAAUUUCAUGUCAAGUUAAUUCUUUUGUCAACAAUAUUUCCACAAGUUUCAAUCAAGAGCAGCUACAGAUGACACUCCGAACCAGACAAUUACCAUUUUGAGCCAUCAUUGACAUUUGAAAUACUGAAGGAGUCCAAAGACUUGUUGGGCAAAUCAGAAAAAUCAAAAUCCACAUCGAGCUGGUUCCCCAGAUAAUUUAUUGGAAGAAGAAUGAGAACCCCAACAAUCCCAGCAAAGCCAAAGACUCUCAAACUGCAUAAAAACAAACAAAACAAACUCAAAUACGCACUCGAAAAAGCAAAAUCAAUCUCAACAUACCCUGCAAUUAUAGCUUAUUAAGUAACCUGAAGAUAAAAAUGCGAAUGAAGACCACAGCAUCUAAGCUGGAGACUGAGAGGAGCUCAUCUUCAGAGGGCUGCCAUGCUCUUUUCACCCAACCUGCAGUUGGUAACAGCCUCUCGAAAUUGAAACCAUUUUUUUGCUCAGAUCCUUCUUUAGCAGCAACCAAGCGCGGUGCAUAGACUUCAAGAUUACUGGGUUGCUUCCUCAAUACAGAAUAUAGAGUGAAGAAGAGGAGACAAAGACCAAGAUUGAUUCCUACUGAUGUUAAAAGUGCCCACACUAUCAUAUCUUCAAACAAAGCAACUCAACCUCAACUGAGCAAACUGCAAAUUAUAUAUUUGUAGUGCAAAGCAAACUGCAAAUUAUAUAAUUGCAGUGCAAAGAUGGCACUACAAUCUCAAGUCUCCAACUUUAACGAAAGAAAGCAUCACCCAAUUGGGAAAGUGAGAACCUGUAAGCAGCUGUGUGAGUGUGAGCGCGAGGGACAGGGCAGGGGCAGCAAGGGGAAUUUACGCUUGAGGCUUGCUUAAGCAAAGGAAGGUACAUAAUAUGUUGGGAUUUUCUCAACGUAACCGACUUUAUUUCAAGCAACUCACUGCUUGCCGGCCGAAAUGUCACUCUCAAGUAGGGGUCAACCCGACCGAACUAUCAACUCGAUCAUAAUAGGUUAGGUUGGUCUAAAAAUGAGUGGAUCUUGAGUUCAAAAAAAUCAUUAAUUGCUAUAUAUGGGUUGGAACUAAAACUUAAAAAUAUGCUUAAGUUUGAGUUAAUCCGACUGAACCGCUCAACUCGAUCACAAGAAAUUUGGGUUGAGUUGAGUUGGCCUAAUAAUGAGCAAGUCUUAGGUCCAAUAAAACAUAAAUCGCUAUAGGAUUGGGUUACGAGUUGGGACUAAAACCUACCCAACUCAACCGAUGCCCACCCUUACUCAAGCUCAACCAAUGGUAGAUCUAGGAUUUGAAAGUUGGUCGGGCUAAACAUAUUGUAUUAAAUUCAAUGGCACUAACAUAAAAAGAUACACCUAAUCAGAGAACGAAUUCAGCGUUACCCUCAAAUGCAUUUUUAUGCAUAAAUAAAAACUUAAUAAAAACAAAAACCACAAAUAAAUGCAAUGCAGUACAAAACAACACUAUUUAAAUCCAAAAGUUUAUCCUACGAAAAGUUUAGAAGUCUUAAAUUCUUUAAUUAUCGUUGUGUUAUUGAUAUUAUUAACAAACUUUCUUUUAUAUAUAUUAAGUGCAUAUUAACAAACUCUCUUUCACACAUAUUUUAAGUAUUGGAGAAAAUCAACAAAGAAAAUCAUAUGUAUAUAUAUUUUUUUAAAGAGGAAAUAUUGACUUUAAAACAAAGAAUUUUGAAGUAAAACUUUCAUACAUGUGAAGUACAGCCCAUUAACACACUUGAUAAAUAAAACCAUUGAUCCAUUAACAAAACAAAAAACCUAUAAAAUUGAUAAAUAACACAUUGACAAUCAAACCCUUGACACAAGAACUAAAUAACCUAACCCAUUAACACAACAAAGACAUAACCCAACCCAUUAAUAUGCAUGAUUCUUCAAUGAUAUAGAGAAAAUGAGAGACAGAAGAUGAACUCAAAAAAAAAAAAAAAGGAACCAAAUUAGACUCGUACCAAACAUAAGAGUAUCUCUAAGAGAAGAGGCAAAAGAAUAGAUGUCUUAUACUUAUCUUUAUUUUGUUUUUGUAUCUCAUAUCCAUGUCAUUGUUUCUGAGAAGUAGGUCGCUUACUAUUGGGAAUCUGUAUAUGUAGUUUUGGUUUUUUUUUUUUUAUAACUAAGAUUUUGUUUUUGUUCAUGUUUGCCGCGUUUGGGUUAUGAAUUGACUAUUCAGGUGACCAUGAGGGGAAGAGGGGGGCAGCUUACCACUAUGGUAAACCCCUGGUUCAUGAAUUGGCUAUUCUAGUUAUUCACUGUACACAUAUUAUGACAUUUUAAUAAAAUAUAUUUUCCACCCAAAAAAAAAAAAAAAACCCAUUUGGCCAAAAAAAAACCCCACGACCCGGUUGUCAGCAGGAAGAGCCAAGUGUAAUACCCGAGCAUACCACGGUCGGUGAUUUUAUCGGAAGAUGCACACAAAAUUAAUACUACUGUUGGUUCCAUUUCGCGCACAUUGCCGUUUUGAUCCUUUCCAAUAGCAAACCACCACCGCCUGGUAGAAACAUUCAACAUCCGCCACUGACCUCAGGCUCGUUUCCGGCCAUCCAUCUGAAUCUCCGAUCUUAACAGGCCUGUACCUUUUAUUCAAUUGAUCUCAGAUCGUUCAAAUUAUUAUGAUAGUUGCACAAUUCAAUCUCCUAAUUUUGAUCGAUUUAGGGCUUUAUUUUGAUUCAUUUUGAAAUUGUAUGAUGGUUGAAUGCAGAGAGAAAUUUAGGGAAAGAUGAGUGACGUAUUUGAAGGGUACGAGCGCCAAUACAGUGAGCUCUCUGCCAACCUCACCAAAAAGUGUACGGUAGCUGGUGCUCUUGAUGGAGGUCCAAUUCCCACUCUUUCUAUUUUUCGUACAUGUGAUUUUUAUAUGUAGCUACCCCGAAUUUAGAUGAUUUAGUUUGUAUUUAAUUGUGCCGGUGGCAUGGAUUUUAUGGAUAAAGUUUCAGUCUUUUUGUUGAUUUAAGCAUAGGUAUCCCAAACCUGGUGGAGGAUCUUAAUGUACGUCUGGGAUUUGCCUUAAUUGUGCGACAACUGACUUCUCGGUUUUGGUUGGUGGGGGAUAUGUGUUUACCUGAUCACUAGACUGUUAAUUUGAGAUGAUGCUAAGUUGCUAACAUAAAUUAUGCUUCUUUAUUUGAGGUUGAAAACUUAUUAAUAGCUCUAGGUUUAGUGAUCUCGAAAGAUGGUGGAAAUCAUUAGGCUGAUAGAGCUCCACUGGUUUGAAGAAUCUUAUGCUUAAUGUGUUAAAAUGGUUGUUUGAAAGUAGACUUUGCCUAUGAUUUAUUGACCAAGAGGAAAAAACAAGAAAGAGAGUGGAUGGGAUCUGGUAUUGCACAUUAAUUGUAUGUCUAAUCUAAGAUUGGGGUCAAUUUAUACUCUCAAAAUUUUCAACAAUUGAAUGCCAUUGAAAUGGAUGGGAGACGAAUCCAUUCUGACUUUUUGGAUGUUGAGUAUUGUAGCAACACCAGCCAUAAGUAGUGGAUUGGAGUGUUGCAGGUACAAAAAUACAGAGAAAAAGGUUUUUAAGUCAUUUCAUGCAAUGAUGAACUUAAGAAUAAUAUUUCAAAUUUUGCUCGUUGGGGGUUUAUACAUGCUUAUAAUCAGAUUUUGCUUCUUCUUUAAUCUGCAGAGCAAAAGAAGCAAAAGAUUUCUGAAAUAAAGGCUGCAAUUGAUGAUGCAGAAUCUUUGGUAAUUAGUUAAACUAUUCUCCUUGGGAGGAUUAGUUUCUGUUAUUUCCUUUUACUUUGUAUUAAAUGUAAUGUUUCUCAAAAAAUUUCAGAUCCGGAAAAUGGACCUCGAGGCAAGAAGUUUGCCACCAAAUAUUAAAGCUGUGCUUCUUGCUAAGUUGAGGGAAUAUAAAUCAGAUCUGAAUAAUCUGAAAAGCGAAGUUAAAAGACUUGUAUCUGGUAACUCAUAUUCAUCUGCCCGAGAUGAGUUGUUGGAAUCAGGCAUGGCUGAUACUCUGACGGUAUGUUUAGAUCCUAAUAGCUAAUUUUUAUGUUUCUAAUAGUUAUUAAAUAUAAGAGUGUGAUUCAUUACGCAGUAGUGAGUUUGUGAGGAAGAAUACACUUUGGUGAGCAAAUCAGUCAGUGAACAUUCUCAUCAGUUUCUGGUUUGAGUUGAUGGCCACUUGCUUAUUGGAAACAAAGAUGCUCCAUAGAAGCAUUCUUUUGCGUGAUUAUAUCUCUACUUUUUAUUACAUAUAAGAAGCGCAGAAAGAAUGCGUGUGAGAUUCUUUGAAAAUUCGUUUCACUAAGCACUUCUGUCAUAAUUAUUAGUUUUUCCUCUAUUGUGACGUAUGAUGAGACUAGUGUGUGCAUUCCAGAGCUUUGUAUUUGGUGCACUAAACAUCCAUGACUGUUUCAACCCUUCUGCUCUGAAAGCUCAUCCUUUCUUGAAUUUUGGAUAACUUGUUUACCACUACUAACUGAUGCAAAUGCAAUAGGCAUCAGCUGAUCAAAGAGGAAGGCUAAUGAUGUCAACAGAGAGAUUAAACAAGUCUAGUGAUAGAGUUAAGGACAGUAGAAGAACCAUGCUGGAAACAGAAGAGCUUGGUGUUUCAAUCCUUCAAGAUCUGCAUUCACAGAGACAGUCUCUGUUACAUGCAAAUAACACGGUAAUUAUCUUUUCAGGUUUUGUAUUCGUUUUAGGGUCGAUUUACUAUCUUUUUCGUCUUUUUUCCCUUACAUUUAGUCAGUAGUAUGCACACCUUCCCUUCCUUCUGAGUAAUGUAUGAGAAUAAUGAAAUUACACCAUUGUACUUUGUGCUUUUGGACAUACCACCUCUUGGACAUGAUUUACUCUUCAUCUUCUUUUCAUAGUUUUUAGUUUUAGUUUUCAGCAGUGAGCUAUGGCUGUAUGUAUCCAUUUACUUUACUAAAAAUAAGUUUCUCGAAGCACAAAAGUUGUUGGUAUAACUGUUUGCUAUCAAUGCAAUAUAUGGCACCCUUGGACAUAAUUAUUUGACUGUUUUCUUUCUACUGCAGCUUCAUGGGGUGGAUGACAACAUAGGGAAAAGCAAGAGAGUUUUGACUUCCAUGGCACGGAGGAUGAGCAGGAACAAGUGGAUUAUUGGCAGUGUUAUUGCCGUUCUUGUCAUUGCCAUCGCCUUGAUCUUGUACUUCAAACUUAAAUAGCCAAGACAUUUUCCGCUUGUUUGAGCUUGUGGGUGUUUCGAACGAACAGAUUUUCAUUUUCUUGUUUCUCCUUAUUUUUCGAGUGUGCAAAAUUGAGUUGUCAAGAUGGAGAUGCAUGAUUGUGUAGUAAUGGCAAAAUAUUGAUACGUUUCGAUUCUUUGCUGGUUGUAUUCACUACUAAAAAGACAUAUGUUUUGCUUUCACCAUGAGUGGGUUCAUUACUCAUUAAGUACAGUUAAUCAUAUAUCGGAAUUCCUUUCUUCUUUAUCUGAAUAACUCCCAUAUUACUCGAAUUUUAGUGCAAAGAGACGGGCCUCACCGUCCCUGACCAACUGGCUUAACUCACGCAUCCCAUCCUCCCAUGUUACUUACUAAGAUAAAGAAAAUAGAAAGUUGUUAUUGGCUUAUCUGUAUUUAAGUAAACGACUGAACAAUUCCCUUGGUUCGGUCUAUGUUACUCUUCUGUUUCUCCACAGGUCCAAACUUAAGCUGCCUCUUUCAGCCACUCUUAUGAGAUGGCCAACCAACGCUGCCUUGGCAUCGCUCCCCAACCGCCACCUCCGUUCGCUUAUUCGAGCAUGCACGCGCCAAUGCUCUAUCGACAUGGGCAAGAAGCUUCACGCAGCCAUUAUCACCGGCGGCCUUGCCGCCAUGCCAGACUCAUUCCUUCACAAUGCCCUCCUCCACUUAUACGCCGCCCAUGGCAGUGUAUGCUCUGCCCGCAAGCUGUUCGAUGAAAUUCCCAACUCGCACAAAGACGCUGUGGACUGGACCGUCCUGAUGGGCUGCUUUUCCCGCCACGGCAUGCCCCAAAGUGGGCUUCGUUUGUUUGUCGAAAUGAGAAGAGAAAACGUGAGGGUGGACGACGUGGCCAUGGCUUGCUUGUUCAAUGCGUGUGCUCGGCUGGGCAACGUUGAGAUUGGGGAGCAAGGGCAUGGGUUUGUGAUGAAGGUGGGUUUGGGUUCUAGUGUCAAGGCUUGCAAUGGGGUCAUGGAUAUGUAUGUCAAGUGUGGCCUAUUGGGUAUGGCGAGACGGGUGUUUGAAGAGAUGGGGGAGAGGAGCGUCGUGUCGUGGACUGUGAUUUUGGAUGGUGUGGUUAAAUUGGAAGGUGUGGGAAGUGGGAGGAGGGUGUUUGAUAAUAUGCCUGAGAGGAAUGAGGUUGCUUGGACGAUUAUGAUUGUUGGUUAUGUGAGUGUUGGGCUUAUCCGUGAAGGCUUUUCUCUUCUUGAAGAAAUGGUUUUUGGUUGUGGUUUGGGAUUGAAUUAUGUCACCCUCUGUUCAUUUUUAUCGGCUUCUGCGCAAUCGGGAGAUACGAUGACAGGCCGUUGGGUUCAUGCCUAUGCUGUUAAGGCAGUGGGUAAUGAGAUUGAUAUCAUGGUUGGCACAGCAGUGGUUGACAUGUAUGCAAAAUGUGGUAGAGUAGACACUGCGUUGAAAGUUUUCGAGCACAUGCACCAAAGGAAUGAAGUGACCUGGAAUGCUUUGCUUAGUGGGUUGGCAAUGCAUGGAAGGGGUAAACUUGUUCUGAAUAUGUUUCCUCAAAUGCUCAAAGAAGCCAAGCCAGACGAUUUAACCUUUACCGCUUUGUUGAGUGCUUGCAGCCACUCGGGCCUUGUUGAACAGGGUCGACAUUACUUUGAUAAUCUUGAAGCAUCAUACGGUGUAACACCUAAGAUAGAACACUAUGCUUGUAUGGUGGAUCUUCUAGGUAGGGCUGGUCAUUUAGAAGAGGCUGAAGUCUUGAUUAAGAAAAUGCCAAUGCCUCCAAAUGAGGUUGUUUUAGGUUCCUUUCUUGGUUCUUGCAGAGUCCACGGAAAGCUAAAGCUGGGCGAACGCAUUCUGCAAGAACUGGUUCGAAUGCAUCCCCACAACACAGAUCAUCAUGUCCUGCUUUCAAACAUGUAUGCUUUAGGUGGAAAGCAGGACAAGGCUAACUCACUGAGACAGGAUCUUAAGAACAGGGGUAUAAGAAAGGUGCCUGGAAUGAGUUCAGUUUAUGUGGGUUGCCAAGUUCAUCAGUUCAGUGCCGGAGAUAAGUCACACCCACAGACGAUGGAGAUUUACGUGAAGUUGGAUGAGAUGAUACAAAGGUUGAGAUUGGCUGGUUAUGUCCCAAAUACUGGUUCUCAAGUUUUCUUUGGCGUUGACAGUAGAGAUGAUGAUGCAGAUAAGCUGGAGGAGAUAGAGCAGGCAUUGUUUUGCCACAGUGAAAAGCUGGCAGUCUGUUUUGGACUUAUAAGCACAAGAGCUGGCUCAACUCUUUAUAUUUUCAAGAAUCUGCGGAUAUGUGUAGACUGUCAUUCUGCUAUGAAAAUAGUUUCUCAUGUUUAUAACCGAGAAAUUGUAAUCAGGGAUCGGAAUCGAUUUCAUUGUUUCAAGCAAGGUUCUUGUUCUUGCUCUGAUUAUUGGUGAUGUGUUUGUACAUAAAUAAUGCAAGUGGUGAUUAAUUAGAUUUGUUUGGCCUAUUUGAUGUCCUAUUGAAUGGAACUUUAUGACGUUUAUUCAUUAUGCUUCUCCUUAUUUGUUCAUUAUGCUUGUAAAAAUGCUAAUUAAGGCUGUUUUCAAAAGCCCAAAAAAAACAAAGAACCACUGGAGAUGCAGGGGAUCGAACCCUGUACCUCCCGCAUGCAAAGCGGGCGCUCUACCAUUUGAGCUACAUCCCCAAUUUGCUAAAUAAAUUAAUCAUAUUCUUAUUUCAUGGUAUAGAUGAAACAAAUGGCAGCGCUCGCUUUGCAUGCGAGAGCAACGGUUAUUUGGAAGUUGGAAUAUUAAUAUGGUGGGUUUUCUUAAAGUUUUAAUGUCCUUUUUACAAUAAGUUGGGGAUGUAGCUCAAAUGGUAGAGCGCCCGCUUUGCAUGCGGGAGGUACAGGGUUCGAUCCCCUGCAUCUCCAUUGUUUUUCUUUUUCCUUUGGUUUGUUUUGUCUUUCAAUCAUUUAACUUUACUUUUUAGUCCCUAUUUCUUUCUCAUUACUAAUUUCUUAGAACUUGCAACCUAAUUGAUACACAACAGAGUAUGAAAACAGGGCAAUCAAGAUGGAAAUGGGAAACAAUUUGGCCAUGGUUGGUUCACAAUACAAUGAAUGAAGAACAACCACCUCUCAGUCUUGUGGUGCCUUCAAUGUGUCCUACUACUCCUUACUUAUUAGUUGCAGCAGUUCUUCAAGACAUUCAAAAAUUCAACAUAUGUUUGUACUUGGAUUUUUCAAUGAGUACUACUCACAUGAUUAAUUAGACCACAUUCUUGAGCUUCUCUGUUUUGAAUUUGUCAUAAUCUGCUAGCAGCCUGGCAUUUACUUUCACAUCGUCCAUCGUCGUCUUCACAAGCUGUUCGCCGAAAACAUUAAUUGGCCAGAAAGAUACUUGCCCUUAUUUUCUAACUGUACUUGUAUGGUAUCUAUAAGAGAAAAUCAAAUAGCCUAACACACUUGGGUUUUGAAGAACUAACCGUUUUUGUAAUGUUUCGCAUAACAUCAUCCGGCACCCAAGCAAGCAGAGGUGAAACAAUGAAGCUUAUGUUGAUAUCAAAUAUGUUUCUAAGCCAGCUUUGUGCUCCUUGUCUUUCAGAGUAUAUGGUUCCUUUGAUAGUGAGGCUAAAAUCCCCUGGCUCGUAAUCUGAAGGGCCUAGGAGCUCCCAUCUUGUCUAGAAAAAGAAAAAAACAAACAAAUAAACAAAGAAAUGUGACCUGGGAAAUCUCCCUCAAGUACAUGAAACUAAUUACCUAUUGAUUCUUUUUUUUCCCGAAUGGAUUAUGGUAUGCUUACUUACAAUGUCAAUCUCAAGAACCUUGGAAAUGUCUUGAGGAACAUGAGAAGGGUAGUCUUUCCCCAUCGAUUUCAUUCUUAACUUUACAUAUAGUAUAAGGUAGAUAGACAAGAACAAGACUUGCAUGGCUGGCAUUUGAAUUCUCCACUCUUCCUGCAUAAUCACAUGAUACGUCCUUAAACCUAAUCCCAGCUGAUUAAGGAUGAUAACAAUUGAGAAAAAGUUCAAAUUUAUAUAGAAAUGCAGGAAAAUAACAAGAAGAGAGCACUGGCACCUCAUUGAGUUGAGUUUUUUCCUCGUCCUGAAAAAUUGCUUUAAAAACCCUUUGCUCAUCCUCCAAAUAUUGAUAAAAUGGAGCCUGCAAAUUAAAGUAGCAUUCAAGAAAAUUAUGAAUUAUGCAAGCGCUUCAGUCUGUAAGAGAGAGGGGGAGAGAGAGAGAUGAAUAGUACCCUAGGGGACUCAUAGAGAGGGGCAUCAAUAGUAUGUCUAAAGUAGAAGGUUAAAGGCUCCUUUUUCUUUGGCAGACUUGGAUUAAACAAGGCCUUUACAUGGCAAAGCCUGUCCUGCUUCUUCAUCAGCUUACCCUUCAAAUUUUCUGCUCCGGCACGCAUGCUUCUACGAGGACAGAACAAGGGUUGGCAAUGCCAUACAGAAAAAAGACCAGCAGCAGCAACCUCACCCAUUUUCCCUUUACCAUAUUGCAAACUAGUUUCCUCUAGCUUAAGCUUUAUAUCAAACUUUUAUGCAGCUAAGAAGAGAAAAAAGAUAUAAAUAAAAAAAGGAACAAUUUAGUUCCAUGGUGACAGGUGGUGGCCCUAGUAUUUGAUAGAGCAACGGAAAUAGAAAUCAGAAUUACAGCACCUCAUAGCACACUUCCUAACCAUGUGCAACUGUUUGCUCAAAAUCAGCGUUUUCAACUCCACACGCAAGUAAUUAACGAAAUGUCGUUGCAUCUGCAUGUGUGCUCGACAUCAGCAUUUUCGACUCUAACGAUAUGAAUACAGUUUUUAUGCUCAACCAGGUCCAUGUGCGUGCUUGCUUCGUCUUGGAAACAUGGGAUUUUUAGAAGCCUAUGCUUGCUACUGCAACAGUGUCGUUUCAGUGUUUGAAAACACUGCCUCAUUAACCCUCAAAUGCAAAAUGUUCAGAGAUGAAAUGUUUUUUUUAAGGUAAUUUUUGCAUAUGAAGCAGCAUUAACCGAGGCCUUAGUCUCAACCGGCAGAAAAACUUGUAUAUGUUCCGCCACACGUUAUAACUAUUCCACAUGGCAGCACGUGAUCGGUUAGAAUAGCAAAAUAGUGUCAUCUCCAUGACAUUCAAAUUCUUCUCAAAACGGGGCAUAUGAUGCAUUUGAUGGGGUUGAUGGAAGGGUGGUUCACUUUCAUCAAAACAAGAAAGAGCGGUUCAAUUCAAAGGACAAAAAGUGAUCUUUCCAGUAGCAUGAGUGCUAAAUUGCUACUUUAUGUACGCGGUGGUGACUGAUGAGGAGGACCAAGACAAAAUUUUCAUGUCCCAUAACCAAUCUGAAAUGGGCCAUUUUCUAUCUCAAGGCUGAAAGGAAAACGGGUUUACAAAUGUAAUAAUAGUAAUAAUAUAUAUUAUCAUGGACAAUCAGCCAUCAUAACUGAAAUUCUUUAACAUACAUUUACAUGCACUUGCAUCUGCUAGGAAGCUCAUACAUUAAAAGGUAUCGGGUAAUGCCUCUUCUUUGACAAAGCAAGAUUUGAAAUAGCCAUGAUGUGUAUCUUAUUCAUUCACCUAAUAUCAUUCAAUAUUACUCAAACUCUCAGUUUUUGGGAGUCUUCCCCAUGUCUGUUUCAAUUUGAACUUCUAUGCCGAAUAUGGUAUUCUUAGCGCCAUCCUCUGAGCAAGCCACGGCCUUUCUGGAUCUGGGUCAAUGAAACCAUGCUGGAGGAACUGGACUGCUUCCUCAUCUAACAGUUCUCUAGCCCAUGUCACCCGUUUUGAUGGGCAACUCCCUGGUCCAAAACACCUGCAAUUUUGAUUGGAUAAUACAAGCUUAACAAAUUCUGCUUCUAGUCACUCAGUCCAAAAGAAAUUUUAGCUUUCAAAACAAUAAUCAGUACUUCAAGAAGUUCUUCUUACAUCCAAGAUCAGGUAAACAAAGUGACAAUCUUGAGAGAAUAUUAUCUUCCAGAAAAGAAAAGCUUAUACACUGAAUCUAAAAAAUGUUCCAAAAGAGCUUGAAGAAACCAAUUAAAGUAGAUCAAACAUAUGUCGCUUCUCAGUUCUGUUUAACUUUGCUUUUAGGUUCUCCCAGGUUAACCAUCUAAAUUACUCUAGUCCAUACCGAUAGGAGUCUAAUGUGAAAAGUUCUUAAGUUACAUAAAUUUUCUAUUGCAUACUUAGCGGCAUUCAUACCCGUACCAUACUCAGAGCCAGAUGGGACAGGGGAAAGAAAUAAUAACACAUUUGUUUAAAGGGAGGCACUCUUGAGUUAAAGUACUAACAGAUGAAUCAAACAUGCAUACCUGUAUUCAUAAAAGCAUGCGCUUCUUUCAUUCUCUGUUUUACCCCAAUUAUUCCAGCCAACAUGUCUGAUGCACCCAUCCAUAAAUGUAUACGCAAAGACCACUCUUCCAAAAGGUCCCCACGGCCGUCCCAGAUGUGCAUAAGAAGUCCCUCCAUUUCCAGUGAUUACACAUCUGCAACAAUUCAACAAAUUGUUCAUCAAUGACCAGGCACUUCUCUUAUUUUUCUUUUCUUUUUUUCUUCGCUAUUUUCGUUUACAAGAUAGUGUGUUACCUUAAGAAUACAUAUCCUGUUGUCUCCUGGGAAGAUUUCCUGCUUUGUGCAGUUAUGAAGCCUGCUCCCUUGCAAUGGAUAUGACAAUUCUCCAGAAGAGCUGUGCUAUUGCCGAAAAUGAAGUCAACACUUCCCUCAACAUAGCAAUCUUUCAGAUACUGCUUUCCAUAAUGCAAGUACAGGGUAUCCUGUAUCAAAAUUAAAAGAACCCACUUAUUACACUGAUAACUCUCACUUAUCAAAUGGCUAGUUUUUACACAGUGAAAGAAAACAAUAACAUUUUGUGCCCACCAAGAAAUUUAAAAAUAUGAAUUAACUAAGAUGAAGUAAUCAGAUAUUCAGCAUCAAUCUGUUGUUAAAGAUGUCUCGUGAAGUCUAUGAUCUACAAAGUAACUAAAUGGGAACAGUGGGUAUACCUGCCAUCCAAGGAACCUGCAAUUAUAGAAGGCACAUCGAUCAGCUGUUACUCUAAUCGCCACAGCUUGGCCUGAACCCUACCAAACAAAAAGAGAGAAGAAAAAGUUAAACACAAUGUUGAUAGUAAACCAAGUUCCCAGGAGUGAAAUGAAGGAGAUAAGGGGAAAUAAAGUUUAAGCCUUUCCCACAGCCUAAGUUUAAGCAUUCCCCAAUUUCUAUAAUGACAAAGAUUUUGACUAUUAGUAAAAUUCAAAAGAAAAAAAAACUUUCAAACUUAACAAAGUAUAUUUGGAUUGAGACAAAUAGAGAAAAGAAGAGACAUGAAAUUGAAAAGUUUUAAAGUUUCUCUUGUUCAGAUGACCCAAUAUGGAGAUAAGCAGAGAGACUUUUAGAUCUUCUUUUCCGCACUUCCAUAUUCUCUCCAAAAGUUAACAAAUUUUUAUAGAGAAUGCGAUUUUUGUGUUGUAUGAUAUGAAUAAUCCCGUUUUUCCCCAAAUCCAAACAAGAUGAAAAAUGAAAAAUCUUCUAACUUCUCAUAUUUUCCCUUCUUUCUAUCAUAUCAUUUAUAUUUUCUUCAGUCCCAACUAGAACUUCCAAAACUCGCUUAAUCCAAAGGAACUAGCAACUCCAAAUUCAUAACCCGCCAUAGAGCAGAACCAAACCAAAACAAUCAUAAGAAAAAACCAAUUGGAGAACUUUCGAGUUACCACUGCGCUAGUUCACAUUACAAGUUUCAAAAUACAGAAAACCAAAAUGCCGAACUACACUAACAUCGAAAAAGCAAUCAAAAGAUGCAGUCUUGAACAAUAACAAAUGAAAUGGAACUAAGAACUGAAACAAAGUUUUACCUCAGGAGAAGAGUUCUCAAAGGUGAUGUUCUCGGCAAUAAAGUCCUCUCCUUCCACAAUAGUUGUCCCACACCCGAAAGUCCCAGUUCCAAUCACACGAGAAGCCUACACAAAGUCAGCAAACAUACUCAUUGGACACGUGUCCACAUACCCAAGUGAAAAGGUCACUACCUCACCUGGUGGUGCUCAAUUUUGGUGGCGGUGUUGUUCCAGGUGAGCACAGUGAGCUCAGGAGCCAGACCAGCGAGAGUGAUGAGAUUCUUCGUCUUGGGUACGUACACGGGCUGCCUGUAGAUGCCGGGAGAGACACGAAUCAAAGUGCGACGCGUGUUGCAAAGAGGGACGGCAUCUAUGGCUUCCUGCACCGUCCGGUAGUCGCCGGAGCCGUCCUGUGCCACCCUUAGCAGAAAGGCCGCCAUUUCUAUUGAUCUGGGUACUUUCUAAAAGUGGGAAAUUUGAAGUGCUUAAUAGCUAGCAGAGGAGACUGUCUUUACUUGCAUGUAGGUGGCGAUGGAAUCGAUAGCUGAGAUAAAACGUAGAGACGGUCCAGACGGGCCGACAGUGACAGAGAACUCACUCAACCGAUAAUGUUAAACUUUUAGUCUUGGAAUCUUGUGUAGUUUUUUUCUCAAACUGUAGCCCACUAACCCGUUUUCUAAUGGGCUUUUUUUGAAGAAACCCAAAUAAGGCCUUGUUGUUGCUGAUCUUUUUUGCUGCUAUUGGACAUAAUUUUUCUUUGGGUUUGCAUAGUUUUCAUUUAUUACCUAAUUCUUCGGGUCUUAUUUUGGAUGAUGAUGAUAGAUUAAAUUGGGUAUCGGCCCGAAUUAUUCUUUGCUGGUCAUUUUCUUUUUUAGGAUUCGUCCGUCUUGUAACAAAAAAAUAAAAAAUUGAUAAGGAUAAUCCUAAGCCUGGAAACUACUCAUUUACCAUCAAGUCUUUUUAACUAAACUCUUCUAACAUUAAAAAGAAAUUUAAUAAGUCAACGAGGGUUUGUUGAAUUGGUAAGAAGCACUCUCUUUCCUAGCAAGGUGUAGGUUUGAAUUUCAUUGUCGACAAUCCAUCUUAAUAGGUAAUAUGUAAAAACAAAGAAAAGGAUUAAGACCCUCUCUAUAAAUCCUAAAAAAACUUUGGUAUGUCCUGUCCUUAGAAUGGGGUAGUGUCCUAUUCCCCUAAACUUUUGUUUGAAAAAAAAAAUCUAAUGGCAGGAUAGCUAGUUGUACACGUUUUUAUUUUAACCUAAUUUUCAUCCCAAAUGUUGGUCAGAAGGCCUACAACGUGUGAGUACCCCGAAGAAGUUACGGUCGGACGUUGUUUUCGCAGGAUAAAACGUCAACCGCCACAUAUAUAGUUAGAGAAUUAAGGAAUAUUUAAUGCUUAAUAUAUUCAUUCAUCUCCUCCUAAUCACAUUUGGAAUUGAUCAAAACCUCAAAAUGACGCGCUACUACACGUACUACACAGGGAACGACGCCAACGAAGACAGCGCGGACGUGUUCGAGGAGUAUGAUCCGACGCCGUACGAGGGCGGGUACGAUAUGGCACUGACCUACGGCCGCCCUGUGGCCCCAUCUGAGAGGACGUGCUACCGUCACUCCUCGGGAGAGGACCCCGAGGAGGACUAUGAUCAGCCCGAGUUCUCAUCGUACCAGGAGCCGUCCGCGUACGACGAGGAGGCCGUGAAAGAGGAGUAUAGUAGCUACGCCCGGCCUUCGCAAGAGGGAGAUCAAUACAAUAUUCGGAGGCAGGGCCGCGGCGAAGGGAGGAGAAGCGAUUCUUAUGACGAUGAGGAGCCCACUCCGGCAGGAGAAGGGGGAUACGGUCGCAAGAAAUACGUAAGAAGCAGGCUCAUCAUAAUUAAUUACAUUUCACUCAAUUUAAUUGGGUUAUAUUUACGUAAAUGCCAUAAUAGAUAUGCAUAUGCAUGCAUGCAUGCAUGUGUUUGUUGUUAGUCGGUUAACUUAUAUGACGAUGAAGUUGUAGUGAUUUUAAUUUAGUUGUGUACCCCUCUGCCUGCCUCCACAUGCAGGCUACCUCGCCUGGAGGCACUAGAUCAUCUUGGUGGCCCGGAUGUUGCACCAGCGAACAAGCAAUUCAGUGACCGACGUAUAUGAUUCUCCGGAGCAUUCUGUUCUUCUUUUAUUUUUUUUUACGAAAUAAUAUUUUAAACUAUUAUAAUGUAUGGGGGAGUGAAAUCGAAUUUAAGUUCAAAGGUGGAGACACUAUUUUGGUUAACUUCCUAACCCGCGUAUGCCAUAGCAUCCUGUUCUUAUUCGGUUAUUGAUUUUCAUCCCAAUUAAUUAUCAUCUCUUCAUUAACGCUUAAUUUCUAUAAAUUAUCAAGUUACCUAAUCAUUCCUUCCUGCAUAAUCCAGGUUAUAAUGUAUAUAUGGUUCACAUUUGGCUUUGUUAUCUAUAUUCUUCUAGUGGAAUAAACCCAUCUUCCUUUCUUAGAGCACUUCCACCCAUUUACAAUGGUAAAGGGUGAGGGGAGGUAAGGACUAUUACUAUUCACGUGAAUAGUGGCAGCCCUUGCAAAUGGCUUUUGGUGUUUCCAACCAUUGCUAUAGUAAUCACUAUUCACAUGCGAUAUGAUGAGAGAAAUUUGUAUAUAGUUUUGGCGUGGGAAAUAAAAAAUAUGACUAAGUAUUUAUUUUUAAAAAAUUCUGAAAAUUUUAGUUUAAAAAAAAAAAAAUAUAGUUUAUUUAUUUAUUUAUUUUUUUAUUACUAAUAUCAGCAAACUCAGGUUAGAGCAAAAGCUGAUUUUGCCUAAGGACCAGCUCAGGCUCAUGGAACCCACAUCCGGCCCGGAAAAAAAGGCCCGCUGAAAGGCCUUUUUCUUCUUGGACCCCCCCUGAAACUGCUCUUAGAGAAUGUGUUAGUUAUAGUCUUGAAUUUUAUUUGAAUGGAUCUACAUCUACUAUCACUUGAGACAAUUACACAAUACAACUCCAAAAUGUUAUCCUAGAGUGAAUAUUAAGAAAAAAGAAAAAUGAAUAUGGCCCACUACUGCCGAAAGCAUUUCAAGGGCCCCUGAAAUGACGAGAUGGCCCACUACUUUAAUUUCGGAUAAUGAUCCCAUGCUUGGUAGGCCCAAGUCUACCUUUGGGUUGCGCUUACUUCAAUCUGUCCACCUGUCACUCGGCAAGAGCCAACGACAUGACGCGGUUAUCCCACGAUGACGAGAAAAUGGUACAGAUCACGCGGGAUCCAAGCUUCCUCGUCAUUUUUGACAGUCGCAUUUCUCAGAUCACAGAAACCUCAAAACGAUGCCGUACUACACAGCUGUCGGCGAUGACGAAGUUCACGACUUCGACGAGUACGAUCCGACGCCGUACGGUGGCGGAUACGAUUUGUUUCUGACCUACGGCCGUGCUCUCGAGCCGUCGGAUGAGACCUGCUACCCUAACUCAUCGCCUUCCGAUGAUUUCGAUUAUGAGCGGCCCCAAUUUUCAUCGUACUCUGAGCCCUCUGCAUAUGACGAAGAGGCUCUCGACAACGAGUACAGCAGCUACGCCCGGCCCACGCACCUACCCGGACCCGCCAUUGGGUUCACUCCAGGUGGAGGCGAUCCCGAGGGAGAGCACGGAGGGAGGCCCCAACCGGCUUAUGGGUUCCAGCCUGGCGGAGAGGAUAGACCCGAGUAUGGAUCCGAGAGGCCCGAUUUGGGUCAUGGGUCUGGGUAUGGUCGGAAGCCGGGGUAUGAACAGCCCGGUUCGGAAUACGGUUCUGGGUAUCGACGGAGACCAGAGUCCGAUGAGCCCAGUUCCGAGUAUGGAUCUGGGUAUGGCCGAAAGCCAGUGUACGAGACGCCUGAACCCGAGUAUGGAUCUGGGUAUGGCCGAAAGCCCGAGUACGAGACGCCUGAACCCGAGUAUGGAUCUGGGUACGGUCGAAAGCCCGAGUACGAGACGCCUGAACCCGAGUAUGGAUCUGGGUACGGGCGAAAGCCCGAGUACGAGGCUCCCGAAUCUGAGCAUGGAUCUGGGUAUGGGCGAAAGCCUGAGUUCGAAGCACCGGGAGCUGGAUUCGGGUCUGGGUAUGAACGGAAGCCGAGUUAUGGCGAGGAGCCUGGUUAUGGAGAUGAGCCGCCGAGAAAGCCAAGCUAUGGGAGGCCCAGUUAUGAGACCUCAGAAAGUGAGGAGAGGACCAAGUAUGAGAGUUCGGGUUAUGGGAAGACUGAGUUUGAGAGACCUGGUUAUGGCGAAGAGCCGCGGAGGAGGCCUAGUUAUGAGAUCCCAGAAAGCGAGGAGAGGCCCAGCUAUGGGAGGCCUGGCUACGGAGAUGAGCCGCCGCCGCCAAGGCCCAGCUAUGGGAGACCUGGCUACGGAGAUGAGCCGCCACCGCCGAGGCCCAGCUAUGGGAGGCCCAGUUAUGAGGGGGAGGAAAGCGCGGAGUAUGAGAAGCCCAGUUAUGGGAGGAGCGAGGAGCAGGAGUACCGCAGGCCUGGUGGUUAUGAGAGGCGCGGUGAUGAUGAUGAAGCUGAGCGUCCUAAGUAUGGUUCUCGUGAGGAAGGCUAUAGUCGCAAGAAAUAUGUGAGAACCUCGAGCUUUAAAACUCCUUUUUUAAUUAUGUGUUUACAUUUAGGCGUCUCUAUGAUAUAAGUUUGAGUCAUGUGGAUUGUUGUUUGUUUGCUUGUCCAUCUUCAUGCAUGCUGUUCAUAAUGUACGUAUCCCCAUUUCCAGUGUGCCAUUAUAUACAUACAAAUCAUGGUAUUUAUAAUGAUCCUCUUUAGCUAAUUUAUCAAUUUGAAUGCAUCAUGGAAAUCAUCUUUUGCGUAUGCAUUGAGUAACUGUUUAUAUUUUUGGUUGGAAAACAUUUUGGAUUGAUCUAUUUGUAUUGGCACUCAUUUAGUAUAAGAUGAGAGCAGAGCUUAUGUGAUUAGUUCUAAACAAUUCAUGUGGUCCAUCUUCAUUACAGUAUCAUAAGUUACAAAUUACAUGCAUAAAAUUUUGGGGGUUGUAGUUGCAAUAAUGAGUCAAAAUAUAUCUUCCAGAGAUAAGACAUCCUGGUUUUGUUUUCUGGUUUUUAUCACCAUUUGAAUCCGAAAACAUUUCUAAUCCUUCUCAAGGCACAAACUUUUUUCUCAAGCUCGAAUCUCUGAAGGUGACUUUAGGUCUAUGAUGUUUCUAUAUCCUCCUCCUAAUGCUUUGGCUUGUGGAUCAUUUGGAUAAAUUCUUGGUGAAAACUGUUUACUCUGUUGUAAGUUCAAUGCUGUUGGUGAGGGGAUCUAAUAGAUGCAUGUAGUGUAGUAGCUGCGCCUCUGGUGAAGGUGGUUUAAAAGUGUAGAACACGUACCUGUUUUUCGAACCCUGUUGGUUAUUUUUAUUUUAUUUUAUCUGAUUCUCUCAAAUGAAUAUGGCAGGGAAAUGACAACUCGGAUGAGGAUGAUGAUGAUGAGGAGAAAAAACGACGUCACCACAAGCACCACCACCGCAAGAGCUAUGAUGAUGAAUGAUCAUAAUCCUUGCCCCUUAAGGGGAUGCAUGCCAUAGCCAUAGCCAUACUUUGAUGCUAAAUAAAGGGUUUGGGCGUGUAUUUCCUUUGAGUGGUAUUCUCUAUUACAUGUUUGAGUAUCCUAAGCUCUAAACUCAAAUCUCAGGUUUGAGUGUCUG
rnacentral:lncRNA from 1 species